AUCCACAUCCAUAUCACAUUCGGUGGCUGAACAACUGAUGCGAACCCGCUAGGGUUUUUGGCCUGAUCUUUUGAUGAGAGACGGGGAUAACUCGAUUGGUGGAUGGAGAUGACGUUCACGGCCCGACUACAGCCCUCAAGACCGCGCCUUAGCAACCGAUACACCACGUCCAACAGCCGUCACGAUCUUGUAGAGCGCGACAACCAGCCCCUAGGGCUCCCGUCCUGCAAGCAAUCGAAGAACUAGCAAGAACGAGGAAACAAGCACUGAAUUUGCAAGAUGAAUUGAAGGUUUCAAACUUAAUCUGAAUCAACAAUGGGGUUCCGAAGACAAGGAGACGGGCGGCUGAUCCUGCACGCGCGCCUACAAGCAAGUAGCGAAGGCUAAACUUGAUCUAAACAAAACCCAGUUGUUCAUGGCGGCUCUAGAUGUAAAUAAAUAGAGGGGAGGACGACCAAAGGGGUGCUAGAGUCGUCCUCCGACCCUAGGACGCAUCCCUAAUGGACUCAACUUGAUACAUGGGCCAUUGGUCCAAAAUAGGGUGACGCAGCACCAAAACAGAAAAAGGUGUCGGCAUGAAAACAAGGACUGCGCCCGACUCAUAAGCUGCAUAGAUAUGUGGUUGGACCCAUUAGAAAGUAGACUUCAUGUGCUUUCCAACAAGUAUAGGAACGUCCCAGUUGGAGUCUAUAUGACGCCGUGGUGAUCCAUACAAGUUAGAGUCAUUUUCAAGUCCGAAUCCAACUCCCAAAACGUGUUGGGUUUGGACUCUUUGUUUCCUUGCUUUAGAAGCGACGUGGUAACUUGAUAGAGGAUGUUGUGGAGGCUUGGACCUGAUCUCCAAUCACCUUUGUUAAGUUAUCACUCUUCCCAUAUGCAAUCAGCCCUUGAAGUUGGUGUUGCCUCAAAUUCUGAAUGCAGUUGAACCUUCCCUUGCUGAUCUUGUCCAUUAUUCCUGAGCAACACGAAAGUGCACGUGUCUCCAUUGUCUAAAUAUGAUUGACAAGAGUUUAAAACUGAACUUACUUGAAGGUUGAGUUGACGGGCACGAGCACGAGUAAGAGGACCAGCUAUAGGUUGUGUCGGAGAGGAUGUAUGACCAGCUAUAGGUUGUGUCGGAGAUGUAGGACCAGCUAUAGGUUGUGUCGGAGAGGAUGUAUCGCUGGUGUUGAUGUCCUCAUCAUCCUCCCUUUCUUGCAUUUGAGUCGUCCUCGACUCAAGCUCAUCUUCCUCACCCAAAUAAGGCUUCAAAUCUGCAAUGUUAAAUGUGGGACUAACCCCAAAAUCUGCAGGAAGAUCAAGCUUAUAUGCAUUCUCAUUAAUUCGUUGCAGCACUUUAAAAGGACCAUCAGCUCUAGGCAUCAAUUUGGAUUUUCUCAGUUCUGGAAAUCUAUCUUUUCGCAAAUGCCACCAAACCAAAUCCCCAUCCAUAUCACAUUCGGUGGCUGAAGAACAGUGGUAAGGCCAAGGUAACAAAACUGGUGCGAAUUAAUUUUACUAUUGGUUCAUACCAUGAUGUUGUUGAAUGUGAUGUUGUACCUAUGGAAGCUUGUAAUAUUCUGCUAGGUAGACCAUGGCAAUUUGAUAAGGAAUGUAUACAUCAUGGUAGAUCAAAUCAGUAUUCGUUUAUGCACCAUGAUAUGAAAAUUGUUUUGCUACCUAUGUCUCCCGAAGCUAUCGUACGUGAUGAAGUUGCUAAAAUUACCAAGGCUAAAAUUAAGAACAAUGCAGAUACCAAUGGAAAUAACAAAGAUGAGAUAAGAUUAAAUGGACAUUGCAUGCUUGCUACUAAAUUUGAUGUUAAUGAACUAAUUGUUUCCACAUCUACUGCUUAUGCUUUGGUAUGUAAGGGUGUUUUGAUUUCAAUUGAAGAUAUGCUGCAUUCUUUGCCCCCUGCUAUUCAUAACAUUUUGCAGGAGUAUGCUGAUGUUUUUCCAAGUGAGAUACCGGCAGGGCUGCCACCUAUACGUGCGAUUGAGCACCAAAUUGAUCUUAUUCCUAGUGCAUCUUUGCCAAACCGCGCGCCAUACAGGACAAACUAGAGGAAACAAAAGAGAUCCAGUGGCAAGUGCAAGAACUCCUCGACAAAGGUUAUGGAAUUGAGGUUGAUCAAGCCAAGGUAGAAGCUAUACAGGGAUGGCCUGUACCAAAGACGAUUACCCAGGUGCGGAGUUUCUUAGGACUUGCUGGGUUUUAUCGCCGUUUUGUGAAGGAUUUCAGCACCAUUGCUGCACCAUUGAAUGACCUUACAAAGAAGGGAGUGCCUUUUGUUUGGAGCAAAGUACAAGAGAAUUCCUUCAACAUGUUGAAAGAUAAGUUAACACAUGCACCUCUCCUACAGCUUCCUGAUUUUAAUAAGACUUUUGAGCUUGAGUGUGAUGCUCGUGGGAUUGGUUUGGGAGGUGUUUUGCUACAAGAGGGUAAACCUGUUGCAUAUUUUAGUGAGAAAUUGAGUGGGCCUGUUCUGAACUAUUCAACUUAUGAUAAAGAAUUGUAUGCUCUUGUCCGAACUUUAGAAACAUGGCAACAUUAUUUGUGGCCCAAAGAGUUUGUUAUUCAUUCUGAUCAUGAAUCUUUAAAACAUAUUCGUAGUCAAGGAAAACUAAAUCGCAGACAUGCUAAGUGGGUAGAAUUUAUUGAAUCCUUUCCUUAUGUUAUUAAGCACAAGAAAGGGAAGGAGAAUAUCAUUGCUGAUGCUUUGUCAAGGAGAUAUACUUUGCUAAAUCAACUUGAUUACAAGAUUUUUGGAUUAGAAACGAUCAAAGACCAAUAUGUUCAUGAUGCUGAUUUUAAUGAAGUGUUGCUGCGUUGUAAAGAUGGAAAAGGAUGGAACAAAUUCAUCGUUAGUGAUGGGUUUGUGUUUAGAGCUAACAAGCUAUGCAUAUCCAGCUAGCUCUGUUCGUUUGUUGUUGUUACAGGAAGCUCAUGGAGGAGGUUUGAUGGGACAUUUUGGAGCAAAGAAGACGGAGGACAUACUUGCUUAUUUGAAACCAUAUUUGGGUGAGGAACAUGAGCUUGAGUCGAGGACGACUCAAAUCCAAGAAAGGGAGGAUGAUGAGGACAUCAACACCAUCGAUAUAUCCACACCUACACCAGUUGGAAUAAUGGACAAGAUCAGCAAGGGAAGGUUCAACUGCAUUCGGAAUUUGAGGCAACACCAACUUCAAGGGCUGAUUGCAUAUGGGAAGAGUGAUAACUUAACAAAGGUGAUUGGAGAUCAGGUCCAAGCCUCCACAACAUCCUCUAUCAAGUUACCACGUCGCUUCUAAAGCAAGGAAACAAAGAGUCCAAACCCAACACGUUUUGGGAGUUGGAUUCGGACUGGAAAAUAAGUCUAACUUGUAUGGAUCACCACGGCGUCAUAUGGACUCCAACUGGGACGUUCCUAUACUUGUUGGAAAGCUCAUGAAGUCUACUUUCCAAUGGGUCCAACCACAUAUCUAUGCAGCUUAUGAGUCGGGCGCAGUCCUUGUUUUUGUGCCGACACCUUUUUCUAUUUUGGUGCUGCGUCACCCUAUUUUGGACCAAUGGCCCAUGUAUCAAGUUGAGUCCAUUAGGGACGCGUCCUAGGGUUGGAGGAUGACUCUAGCACCCCUUUGAUCGUCCUCCCCUCUAUUUAUUUACAUCUAGAGCCGCCAUGAACAACUGGGUUUUGAUUAGAUAAAGAUUAGCCUUCGCUACUUGCUUGUAAACGCGCGUGCUGAUCCAGCCGCCCGUCUUCUUUUUUUCGAAACCCCACUUCAUUAGAGAUUGAGUUUGAAACCUUCAUUUACAUCUAGUAAUUUAGUACUUGUUCUACUUGUUCUUGCUGGUUCUUCGAUUGCUUGUAGGAUGAGUGCCCUAGUGGCCGGGUGUUGCGCUCCACAAGAUCGUGACAGCCAUUGGAGGCGGUGUAUCGGUUGCUAAGGCGCGGCCUUAGAAGGCUGUAGUCGGGCCGUGAACGUCAUCUCCAUUCAGUAAUCGAGUUAUCCAGCGCCUCUCAUCGAAAGAUCAGGCGAAAACCCUAGUGGGUUCACAUCAGAGACAGUGUUAGUUUCAGUGCAAGAUAGUGGCAAGGUUUGCACAUAAUGCAGCAUAGGCUAAGAAACCAUUUUGGACGCACCCGAUGGUACUCCUAGUUAAAAGGCUCAAGUGAAAGCUCGGUUUGGUCUUUUUGGAGAUAGUGCUAAUCUUGAUGCAAGAUAGAUGCACAGUCUGCAUGGAACAUACCAUAUUUUUGGAAAUUAAUAUGGACACACCCGAUAGAACUCCUUGGUGAUGUGUGUCUUAUGGAAUCUCGCUUUGGUGUGCUUAGAGACAGUAUUAGUUUCGGUGCAAGAAAUAUGCACGGUUUGUGCCUAAUCCACCAAAGUCUAAGAAACCAUUUUGGAAGCACCUGUUAGUACUCCUAGGUGAAGAGGCUCAAGUGGAGGCUCGGUUUGGUCUGUUUAGAGAUAGUGCUAAUCUUGAUGCAAGAUAGGUGCACGAUUUGCAAGGAACAUACCAUAUGCUCAAAAGUCAAUUUGUACGCACCAGAUGGAACUCCUAGAUGACAUGUGUCAUAUGGAAUCUCGCUUCGGUCUGUUUGAAGACAGUGUUAGUUUUGGUGCAAGAUAGGUGCAUAGUGUGUGCCUAAUGCACCAUAGUAUAAGAAACCAUUUUUGACGCGCCUGUUUGUACUCCUAGAUGAAGAGGCUCAAGUGGAAGCUCGGUUUGGUCUGUUUGGAGAUAGUGCUAAUCUUGAUGCAAGAUAGGUGCACAGUUUGCAUGGAACAUACCAUAUGCUUGGAAAUCAAUUUUGAUGCACCCAAUGAAACUCCUUGAUGACGUGUGUCGUAUGGAAUCUCGCUUUGGUCCGUUUGUAGACAUUGUAAGUUUUAGGGCAAGAUAGGUGCACAGGUUGCGCCUAAUGCACCAUAGUCUAAGAAACCAUUUUUGAUGUACUCCUAGAUGAAGAGGCUCAAGUGGAAGCUCAGUUCGGUCUGUUUGGAGAUAGUGCUAAAAUUGAAGCAAGAUAGGUGCACGGUUUGCAUGGAACAUACCAUAUGCUUGGAAAUCAAUUUGGAUGCACCCGAUAGAACUCCUUGAUGACGUGUGUCAUAUGGAAUCUCACUUUGGUCUGUUUAGAAAUAGUGUUAGUUUCAGUGCAUGAUAUGUGCAUGGUUUGCACCUAAUGCACCACAGUCUAAGAAAGCAUUUUGGAAGCACCUGUUGGUACUUCAGUAAAGAGGCUCAAGUGGAAGCUCGGUUUGAUCUGUUUGGAGAUAGUGCUAAUCUUGAUGCAAGAUAGGUGCAUGAUUUGCAAGGAACAUACCAUAUGCUUAAAAAUCAAUUUGGACGCACCCAAUGGAACCUAGAUGACGUGUGUCAUAUGGAAUCUUGCUUCGGUUCAUUUGUAGACAUUGUAAGUUUUAGUGCAAGAUAGGUGCACAGUUUGCGCCUAAUGAACUAUAGUCUAAGAAACCAUUUUGGACGCACUAUUUGGUACUCUUGGGUGAAGAGGCUCAACUGGAAGCUUGGUUCGGUCAAUUUGGAGAUACUGCUAAUCCUUAUGCAAAGUAGGUGCAUGCUUUGCAUGGAACAUACCAUAUGCUUGGAAAUCAAUUUGGAUGCACCCGAUGGAACUCCUUGACGACAUGUGUCAUAUGGAAUCUCGUUUCGGUCCAUUUGGAGACAUUGUUAGCUUCGGUGCAAGAUAGGUGCACAGUUUUCACCUAAUGCACCAUAGUCUAAGAAACCAUUUUGGACGCACUUGUUGGUACUCCUAGGUGAAGGGGCUUAAGUGGAUGCUCGGUUCGGUUUGUUUGGAGAUAGUGCUAAUCUUGAUGAAAGAUAGGUGCAUGGUUUGCAUGAAACAUACCAAGUGCUUGGAAAUUAAUCUAGACGCACAUGAUGGAACUCCUAGAUGACGUGUGUCAUACAAAAUCUUGCUUUGGUCUGUUUGGAUACAGUGUUAGUUUCGGAGCAAGGUAGGUGCAAGGUUUGCACAUAAUGCAGCAUAGGCUAAAAACCAUUUUGGACACACCCGAUGGUACUCCUAGGUAAAAGGCUCAAGUGAAAGCUCGGUUUGGUCUAUUUGGAGAUAGUGCUAAUCUUGAUGCAAGAUAGAUGCACGGUCUGCAUGGAACGUACCAUUUGCUUAGAAAUUGAUUUGGACACACUCGAUAGAACUCCUUGAUGACGUGUGUCAUAUGGAAUCUCGCUUUGGUGUUCUUAGAGAUAGUAUUAGUUUCGGUGCAAGAUAUGUGCACGGUUUGCGCCUUAUGCUCCAAAGUCUAAGAAACCAUUUUGGAAGCACGUGUUGGUACUCCUAGGUGAAGAGGCUCAAGCGGAGGCUCGGUUCGGUCUGUUUAGUGAUAGUGCUAGUCUUGAUGGAAGAUAGGUGCACGAUUUGCAUGGAACAUACCAUAUGCUUGGAAAUCAAUUUGGAUGCACCCGAUGGAACUCCUUGAUGACGUGUGUCAUUUGGAAUCUCGCUUCGGUCCAUUUGGAGACAUUGUUAGUUUUGGUGCAAGAUAGGUGCACAGUUUGCACCUAAUGCACCAUAGUCUAAGAAACCAUUUUGGACGCACUUGUUGGUACUCCUAGGUGAAGGGGCUCAAGUGGAUGCUCGGUUCGGUCUGUUUGGACAUAGUGCUAAUCUUGAUUUGAGAUAGAUGCACGGUUUGCAUGGAACAUACGAUAUGCUUAGAAAUCAAUUAGGACACACCUGAUAUAACUCCUUGAUGAUUUGUAUCAUAUGGAAUCUUGCUUCGGUUCGUUUAGAGAUAGUGUUAGUUUUGGUAGAAGAUAUGUGCACGAUUUACGCCUAAUGCACCAUAGGCUAAGAAACCAUUUUAGACGCACCCGAUGGUACUCGUAGUUGAAGAGCCUCAAGUAAAGGCUCGAUUUGGUCUGUUCGGAUAUAGUGCUAAUCUUGAUGCAAGAUAGUUGCAUAGUUUGCAUGCAACGUACCAUAUGUUAAGAAAUCAAUUUGGACGCACCCAAUGGAACUCCUAGAUGACGUGUGUCAUAUGGAAUGUCGCUUCGGUCUGUUUGGAGACAAUGUUAGUUUCGGUGCAAGAUAGGUACAUAGUUUGUGUGUAAUGCACCAUAGUCUAAGAAACCAUUUUUGACACACCUGUUUGUACUCCUAGAUGAAGAUGCUCAAGUGGAAGCCCGGUUCGGUCUGUUUGGAGAUAGUGCUAAAAUUGAUGCAAGAUAGGUGCACGGUUUGCAUGGAACAAACCAUAUGCUAGGAAAUCAAUUUUGAUCCACCCGAUGGAACUCCUUGAUGAUGUGUGUCAUAUGGAAUCUCACUUGGUCUGUUUAGAAAUAGUGUUAGUUUCGGUGCAUGAUAUGUACAUGGUUUGCACCUAAUGCACCAGAAACCAUUUUGGAAGCACCUGUUGGUACUUCAGUGAAGAGGCUCAAGUGGAAGCUCGGUUUGAACUGUUUGGAGAUAGUGCUAAUCUUGAUGCAAGAUAGGUGCAUGAUUUGCAAGGAACAAACAUACCAUAUGCUUAGAAAUCAAUUUGGACACACCCACCUAGAUGACGUGUGUCAUAUGGAAUCUUGCUUCGGUCCGUUUGUGUACAUUGUAAGUUUUAGUGCAAGAUAGGUGCACAGUUUGCGCCUAAUGCACCAUAGUCUAUGAAACCAUUUUGGACGCACUAUUUGGUACUCCUAGGUGAAGAGGCUCAAGUGGAAGCUUGGUUCGGUCAGUUUGGAGAUAGUGCUAAUCCUUAUGCAAGGUAGGUGCAUGCUUUGCAUAGAACAUACCAUAUGCUUGGAAGUCAAUUUGGAUGCACCCGAUGGAACUCCUUGACGACGUGUGUCAUAUGGAAUCUCGUUUCGGUCCAUUUGGAGACAUUGUUAGUUUCGAUGCAAGAUAGGUGCACAGUUUGCACCUAAUGCACCAUAGUCUAAGAAACCAUUUUGGACGCACUUGUUGGUACUCCUAGGUGAAGGGGCUCAAGUGGAUGCUCGGUUCGGUCUGUUUGGAGAUCGUGCUAAUCUUGAUGAAAGAUAGGUGCACGAUUUGCAUGGAACAUACCUAAUGCUUGGAAAUCAAUCUGGACGCACAUGAUGGAACUCCUAGAUGACGUGUGUCAUACAAAAUCUUGCUUUGGUCUGUUUGGAGACAGUGUUAGUUUCAGUGCAAGAUAGGUGCAAGGUUUGCACAUAAUGCAGCAUAGGCUAAGAAACCAUUUUGGACGCACUCGAUGGUACUCCAAGGUAAAAGGCUCAAGUGAAAGCUCGGUUUGGUCUAUUUGGAGAUAGUGCUAAUCUUGAUGCAAGAUAGAUGCACAGUCUGCAUGGAAAGUACCAUUUGCUUAGAAAUUGAUUUGGACACACCCGAUAGAACUCCUUGAUGAUGUGUGUCAUAUGGAAUCUCGCUUUGAUGUGCUUAGAGACAGUAUUAGUUUCGGUGCAAGAUAUGUGCACGGUUUGCGCCUAAUGCACCAAAGUCUAAGAAACCAUUUUGGAAACACCUGUUAUUACUCCUAGGUGAAGAGGCUCAAGUGGAGGCUCAGUUUGGUCUGUUUAGAGAUAGUGCUAAUGUUGAUGCAAGAUAGGUGCACGAUUUGCAUGGAACAUACCAUAUGCUCAGAAAUCAAUUUGGACACACCAGAUGGAACUCCUAGAUGACAUGUGUCAUAUGGAAUGUGACUUCGGACCGUUUAGAGAUAGUGUUAGUUUCGGUGUAAGAUAGGUGCACGGUUUGCACCUAAUGCACCAUAGGAUAAGAAACCAUUUUGGACGCACCAGAUGGUAUUCCUAGUUCAAGGGGCUAAUGUGAAAGCUCAGUUUGGUCUGUAUGGAGAUAGUGCUAGUCUUGAUGCAAGAUAGAUGCACGGUUUGCAUGGAACAUACGAUAUGCUCAGAAAUGAAUUAGGACGCACCUGAUAACUCCUUGAUGAUGUGUAUCAUAUUGAAUCUUGCUUCGGUUCGUUUAGAGACAGUGUUAGUUUUGAUAGAAGAUAUGUGCACAGUUUAUGCCUAAUGCACCAUAGGCUAAGAAACCAUUUUAGACGCACCCGAUGGAACUCAUAGUUGAAGAGGCUCAAGUGGAGGCUCGAUUUGGUCUGUUCGGAUAUAGUGCUAAUCUUGAUGCAAGAUAGUUGCACAGUUUGCAUGCAACGUACAAUAUGUUAAGAAAUCAAUUUGGACGCACCCAAUGGAACUCCUAGAUGACGUGUGUCAUAUGGAAUCUCGCUUCGGUCUAUUUGGAGACAAUGUUAGUUUCGGUGCAAGAUAGGUGCAUAGUUUGUGCCUAAUGCACAUAGAAACCAUUUUUGAUGCACCUGUUUGUACUCCUAGAUGAAGAGGAUCAAGUGGAAGCUCAGUUCGGUCUGUUUGGAGAUAGUGCUAAUCUUGAUGCAAGAUAGGUGCACGGUUUGCAUGGAACAUACCAUAUGCUUGGAAAUCAAUUUGGAUGCACCCGAUGGAUCUCCUCGAUGACGUGUGUCAUAUGAAAUCUCGCUUUGGUCUAUUUAGAUGCAGUGUUAGUUUCGGUGCAAGAUAUGUGCAUGAUUUACGCCUAAUGCACCAUAGUCUAAGAAACCAUUUUGGAAGGACCUGUUGGUACUUCGGUGAAGAGGCUCAAGUGGAAGCUCGGUUUGAUCUGAUUGGAGAUAGUGCUAGUCUUGAUGCAAGAUAGGUGCAUGAUUUGCAAGGAACAUACCAUAUGCUUAAAAAUCAAUUUGGACGCACCCAAUGGAACUCCUAGAUGACGUGUGUCAUACCGAAUCUUGCUUCAGUCCGUUUGUAGAAUUUGUAAGUUUUAGUGCAAGAUAAGUGCACAGUUUGCGUCUAAUGCACCAUAGUCUAAGAAACCAUUUUGGACGCACUAUUUGGUACUCUUUGGUGAAGAGGCUCAAGUGGAAGCUUGAUUCAGUCAGUUUGGAGAUAGUGCUAAUCCUUAUGCAAGGUAGGUGGAUGGUUUGCAAGGAACAUACCAUGUGCUUGGAAAUCAAUUUGGAUGCACCCGAUGGAACUCCUUGAUGACGUGUGUCAUAUGGAAUCUCGCUUCGGUCCAUUUGGAGACAUUGUUAGUUUCGGUGCAAGAUAGGUGCACAGUUUGCACCUAAUGCACCAUAGUCUAAGAAACCAUUUUGGACACACUUGUUGGUACUCCUAGGUGAAGGGGCUCAAGUGGAUGCUCGGUUCGGUCUGUUUGCAGAUAGUGCUAAUCUUGAUGAAAGAUGGGUGCACGGUUUGCAUGGAACAUACCAAAUGCUUGGAAAUCAAUCCGGACGCACACGAUGGAACUCCUAGAUGACGUGUGUCAUACAAAAUCUUGCUUCGGUCUGUUUGGAGACAGUGUUAGUUUCGGUGCAAGAUAGGUGCAAGGUUUGCACAUAACGCAGCAUAGGCUAAGAAACCAUUUUGGACGCAACAGAUGGUACUCCUAGGUAAAAGGCUCAAGUGAAAGCUCGGUUUGGUCUAUUUGGAGAUAGUGCUAAUCUUGAUGCAAGGUAGAUGCACGGUCUGCAUGGAACGUACCAUAUGCUUAGAAAUUAAUUUGGACACACCCGAUAGAACUCCUUGAUGACGUGUGUCAUAUGGAAUCUCGCUUUGGUGCGCUUAGAGAUAGUAUUAGUUUCGGUGCAAGAUAUGUGCACGGUUUGCGCCUAAUGCACCAAAGUCUAAGAAACCAUUCUGGAAGCACCUGUUGGUACUCCUAGGUGAAGAGGCUCAAGUGGAGGCUCGGUUCAGUCUGUUUAGAGAUAGUGCUAGUCUUGAUGGAAGAUAGGUGCACGAUUUGCAUGGAACAUACCAUAUGCUUGGAAAUCAAUUUGGAUGCACCCGAUGGAACUCCUUAAUGACGUGUGUCAUUUGGAAUCUCGCUUCGGUCCAUUUGGAGACAUUGUUAGUUUCGGUGCAAGAUAGGUGCACAGUUUGCACCUAAUGCACCAUAGUCUAAGAAACCAUUUUGGACGCACUUGUCGGUACUCCUAAGUGAAGGGGCUCAAGUGGAUGCUCGGUUCGGUCUGUUUGGAGAUAGUGUUAAUCUUGAUGCAAGAUAGAUGCAUAGUUUGCAUGGAACAUAUGAUAUGCUUAGAAAUCAAUUAGGACACACCUGAUAUAAAUCCUUGAUGAUUUGUGUCAUAUGGAAUCUUGCUUUGGCUCGUUUAGAGACAAUGUUAGUUUUGGUAGAAGAUAUGUGCACGGUUUACGCCUAAUGCACCAUUGUCUAAGAAACCAUUUUAGACGCACCCGAUGGUACUCGUAGUUGAAGAGGCUCAAGUAGAGGCUCGAUUUGGUCUGUUCGGAUAUAGUGCUAAUCUUGAUGCAAGAUAGUUGCACAGUUUGCAUGCAACGUACCACAUGUUAAGAAAUCAAUUUGGACGCACCCAAUGGAACUCCUAGAUGACGUGUGUCAAAUGGAAUCUCGCUUCGGUCUGUUUGGAGACAAUGUUAGUUUCAGUGCAAGAUAGGUGCAUAGUUUGUGCCUAAUGCACCAUAGUUUAAGAAACCAUUUUUGACACACCUGUUUGUACUCCUAGAUGAAGAGGCUCAAGUGGAAGCUCGGUUCGGUCUGUUUGGAGAUAGUGCUAAUCUUGAUGCAAGAUAGGUGCACGGUUUGCAUGGAACAUACCAUAUGCUUGGAAAUCAAUUUGGAUGCACCUGAUGGAACUCCUUGAUGAUGUGUGUCAUAUGGAAUCUCACUUUGGUCUAUUUAGAAAUAGUGUUAGUUUCGGUAAAAGAUAUGUGCAUGGUUUGCGCCUAAUGCACCAUAGUCUAUGAAACCAUUUUGGAAGCACCUGUUGGUACUUCGGUGAAGAGGCUCAAGUGGAAGCUUGGUUUAAUAUGUUUGGAGAUAGUGCUAAUCUCGAUGCAAGAUAGGUGCAUGAUUUGCAAGGAACAUACCAUAUGCUUAGAAAUCAAUUUGAACGCACCCAAUGGAACUCCUAGAUGACCUAUGUCAUAUGGAAUCUUGCUUCGGUCCGUUUGUAGACAUUGUAAGUUUUAUUGCAAGAUAGGUGCACAGUUUGUGCCUAAUGCACCAUAGUUUAAGAAACCAUUUUGGAUGCACUAUUUGGUACUCUUGGGUGAAGAGGCUCAAGUGGAAGCUUAGUUCAGUCAGAUUGGAGAUAGUGCUAAUCCUUAUGAAAGGUAGGUGCAUGGUUUGCGUGGAACAUACAUAUGCUUGGAAAUCAAUCUGGAUGCACCCGAUGCAACUCCAUGACGACGUGUGUCAUAUGGAAUCUCGCUUUGGUCCAUUUGGAGAUAUUGUUAGUUUCGGUGCAAGAUAGGUGCACAGUUUGCACCUAAUGCACCAUAGUCUAAGAAACCAUUUUGGACGCAGUUUUUGGUACUCCUAGGUGAAGGGGCUCAAGUGGAUGCUCGGUUUGGUCCGUUUGGAGAUAGUGCUAAUUUUGAUGCAAGAUAGGUGCACGGUUUGCAUGGAACAUACCAUAUGCUUGGAAAUCAAUUUUGAUGCACCCGAUGGAACUCCUUGAUGAUGUGUCAUAUGGAAUCUCACUUUGGUCUGUUUAGAAAUAGUGUUAGUUUUGGUACAAGAUAUUUGCAUGCUUUGCGCCUAAUGCACCAUAGUCUAAGAAACCAUUUUGGAAGCACCUGUUGCUACUUCGAUGAAGAGGCUCAAGUGGAAGCUCGGUUUGAUCUGUUUGGAGAUAGUGCUAAUCUUGAUGCAAGAUAUGUGCAUGAUUUGCAAGGAUUAUACCAUAUGCUUAGAAAUAGAAUUGGACGCACCCAAUGGAACUCCUAGAUGACCUGUGUCAUAUGGAAUCCUGCUUCGGUCCGUUUGUAGACAUUUUAAGUUUUAGUGCAAGAUAGGUGCACAGUUUGUGCCUAAUGCACCAUAGUCUAAAAAACCAUUUUGGUUGCACUAUUUGGUACUCUUGGGUGAAGAGGCUCAAGUGGAAGCUUGGUUCGGUCAAUUUGGAGAUAGUGCUAAUCCUUAUACAAGGUAGGUGCAAGGUUUGCAUGGAACAUACCAUAUGCUUGGAAAUCAAUUUGUAUGCACCCGAUGGAACUCCGUGACAACGUGUGUCAUAUGGAAUCUCGCUUCGGUCCAUUUGGAGACAUUGUUAGUUUCGGUGCAAGAUAGGUGCACAGUUUGCACGUAAUGCACCAUAGUCUAAAAAACCAUUUUGGACACACUUGUUGGUACUCCUAGGUGAAGGGGCUCAAGUGGAUGCUCAGUUCGGUCUGUUUGGAGAUAGUGCUAAUCUUGAUGCAAGAUAGGUGCACUGUUUGCAUGGAAUAUACCAUAUGCUUGGAAAUCAAUUUGGAUGCACCGGAUGGAACUCCUUGAUGAUGUGUGUCAUAUGGAAUCUCACUUUGGUCUGUUUAGAAAUAUUGUUAGUUUCGGUGCAAGAUAUGUGCAUGGUUUGCGCCUAAUGCACCAUAGUCUAAGAUACCAUUUUGGAAGCACCUGUUGGUACUUCGGUGAAGAGGCUCAAGUGGAAGCUUGGUUUGAUAUGUUUGGAGAUAGUGCUAAUCUUGAUGCAAGAUAGGUGCAUGAUUUGCAAGGAACAUACCAUAUGCUUAGAAAUCAAUUUGGAGACACCCAAUGGAACUCCUAGAUGACGUGUGUCAUAUGGAAUCUUGCUUCGGUCUGUUUGUAGACAUUGUAAGUUUUAGUGCAAGAUAGGUGCACAGUUUGCGCCUAAUGCACCAUAGUCUAAGAAAUCAUUUUGGAUGCACUAUUUGGUACUCUUGGGUGAAGAGGAUCAAGUGGAAGCUUGGUUCGGUCAGUUUGGAGAUAGUGCUAAUCCUUAUGCAAGGUAGGUGAAUGGUUUGCAUGGAACAUACCAUAUGCUUGGAAAUCAAUUUGGACGCACCCGAUGGAACUCCUUGACGACGUGUGUCAUAUGGAAUCUCGCUUCGAUCUAUUUGAAGACAUUGUUAGUUUCGGUGCAAGAUAUGUGCAUAGUUUGCACCUAAUGCACCAUAGCCUAAGAAACCAUUUUGGACGCACUUGUUGGCACUCCUAGGUGAAGGGGCUCAAGUGGAUGCUCGGUUCAGUCUGUUUUGAGAUAGUGUUAAUGCUUGGAAAUCAAUCUGGACGCACAUGAUGGAACUCCUAGAUAACAUGUGUCAUACAAAAUCUUGCUUUGGUCUGCUUCGAGACAGUGUUAGUUUUGGUGCAAGAUAGGUGCAAAGUUUGCACAUAAUGCAGCAUAGGCUAAGAAACCAUUUUGGACGCACCCGAUGGUACUCCUAGGUAAAAGGCUCAAGUAAAAGCUUGGUUUGGUCUAUUUGGAGAUAGUGCUAACCUUGAUGCAAGAUAGAUGCAUGGUAUGCAUGGAACGUACCAUAUGCUUAGAAAUUAAUUUAGACACACCCGAUAGAACUCCUUGAUGACGUGUGUCAUAUGGAAUCUCGCUUUGGUGUUCUUAGAGAUAGUAUUAGUUUCGGUGCAAGAUAUGUGUACGGUUUGCGCCUAAUGCACCAAGUCUAAGAAACCAUUUUGGAAGCACCUAUCGGUACUCCUAGGUGAAGAGGCUCAAGUGGAGGCUCGGUUUGGUCUGUUUACAGAUAGUGCUAAUGUUGAUGGAAGAUAGGUGCACGAUUUGCAUGGAACAUACCAUAUGCUCAGAAAUCAAUUUGGACGCACGAGAUGGAACUCCUAGAUGACAUGUGUCAUAUGGAAUCUCACUUCGAUCCGUUUAGAGAUAGUGUUAUUUUCGGUGCAAGAUUGGUGCACAGAUUGCACCUACCAUAGGAUAAGAAACCAUUUCGGACGCACCCGAUGGUACUCCUAGGUCAAGGGGCUCAAGUGAAAGCUCAAUUUGGUUUGUUUAGAGAUAGUGCUAAUCUAGAUGCAAGAUAGAUGCACGGUUUGCUUGGAACAUACGAUAUGCUUAAAAACCAAUUAGGACGCACCUGAUAUAACUCCUUGAUGAUUUGUGUCAUAUGGAAUCUUGCUUCGGUUUGUUUAGAGACAGUGUUAGUUUUGGUAGAAGAUAUGUGCACGAUUUACGCCUAAUGCACCAUAGGCUAAGAAACCAUUUUAGACGCACCUGAUGGUACUCGUAGUUGAAGAGACUUAUGUGGAGGCUCGAUUUGGUCUGUUCGGAUAUAGUGCAAAUCUUGAUGCAAGAUAGUUGCACAGUUUGAAUGCAAUAUACCAUAUGUUAACAAAUCAAAUUGGAUGCACCCAAUUCAACUCCUAGAUGACGUGUGUCAUAUGGGACCUCGCUUCGGUCUGUUUGUAGACAAUGUUAGUUUCGGUGCAAGAUAGGUGCAUAGUUUGUGCCUAAUGCAACAUAGUCUAAGAAACCAUUUUUGACACUCCUAUUUGUACUCCUAGAUGAAGAGGCUCAAGUGGAAGCUCAGUUCGGUCUGUUUGGAUAUAGUGCUAAUCUUGAUGCAAGAUAGGUGCACGGUUUGCAUGGAACAUACCAUAUGCUUGGAAAUCAAUUUGGAUGCACCCGAUGGAACUCCUUGAUGACGUGUGUCAUAUGGAAUCUCAGUUUGGUCUGUGUAGAAAUAUUGUUAGUUUUGGUGCAAGAUUUGUGCAUGGUUUGCGCCUAAUGCACCAUAGUCUAAGAAACCAUUUUGGAAGCACCUGUUGGUUCUUCGGGGAAGAGGCUCAAGUGGAAGCUCGGUUUGAUAUGUUUGGAGAUAGUGCUAAUCUUGAUGCAAGAUAGGUGCACGAUUUACAAGGAACAUACCAUAUGCUUAGCAAUCAAUUUGGACGCACCCAAUGGAAGUCCUAGAUGACAUGUGUCAUAAGAAAUCUUGCUUCGGUCCGUUUGUAGACAUUGUAAGUUUUAGUGCAAGAUAGGUGCACACUUUGCGCCUAAUGCAACAUAGUCUAAGAAACCAUUUUGGACGCACUAUUUGGUACUCCUGGGUGAGAGGCUCAAGUGGAAGCUUGGUUCGGUCAGUUUAGAGAUAGUGCUAAUCCUUCUGCAAGGUAUGUGCACGGUUUGCACACAUGAUGGACUCCUAGAUGACGUGUGUCAUACAAAAUCUUGAUUUGUUAUGCUUGGACAUAGUGUUAGUUCUGGUGCAAGAUAGNNNNNNNNNNNNNNNNNNNNNNNNNNNNNNNNNNNNNNNNNNNNNNNNNNNNNNNNNNNNNNNNNNNNNNNNNNNNNNNNNNNNNNNNNNNNNNNNNNNNNNNNNNNNNNNNNNNNNNNNNNNNNNNNNNNNNNNNNNNNNNNNNNNNNNNNNNNNNNNNNNNNNNNNNNNNNNNNNNNNNNNNNNNNNNNNNNNNNNNNNNNNNNNNNNNNNNNNNNNNNNNNNNNNNNNNNNNNNNNNNNNNNNNNNNNNNNNNNNNNNNNNNNNNNNNNNNNNNNNNNNNNNNNNNNNNNUCUCUAAGCACACCAAAGCAAGAUCCAUAUGACACACGUCAUGAAGUGAGUCUAUCGGGUGUGUCCAAAUUAAUUUCUAAGCAUAUGGUACGUUCCAUGCAGACCAUGCAUCUAUCUUGCAUCAAGAUUAGCACUAUCUCCAAACAGAUCAAACCGAGCUUCCACUUGACCCUCUUCACCGAAGUACCAAAAGGUACUUCCAAAAUGGUUCUUAGACUAUGGUGCAUUACGCGCAAACCAUGCACCUAUCUUGCACUGAAAAUAACAUUGUUUUUAAACUGACCAAAGAUAGAUUCCAUAUGACACACGUCAUCAAGGAGUUCCAUCGGGUGCAUCCAAAUUGAUUUCCAAGCAUAUGGUAUGUUCCAUGCAAACCGUGCACCUAUCUUGCAUCAAGAUUAGCACUAUCUCCAAACAGACUGAACCGAGCUUCCACUUGAGCCUCUUCAUCUAGGAGUACAAACAGGUGCGUCAAAAAUGGGUUCUUAGACUAUGGUGCAUUAGACACAAACUAUGCACCUAUCUUGCACCAAAACUAACAUUGUCUCCAAACAGACCGAAGCGAGAUUCCAUAUGACACACGUCAUCUAGGAGUUCCAUUAGGUGCGUACAAAUUGGUUUCUUAACAUAUGGUACGUUCCAUGCAAACUGUGCAACUAUCUUGCAUCAAGAUUAGCACUAUAUCUGAACAGACCAAAUCGAGCCUCCACUUGAGCCUGUUCAACUACGAGUACCAUCGGAUGCGUCUAAAAUAGUUUCUUAGCCUAUGGUGCAUUAGGUGUAAUGAUUUGGACAUCAACACCAGCGAUACAUCCUCUCCGACACAACCUAUAGCUGGUCCUCUUUCUCGUGCUCGUGUUCGUCAACUUAUUAAUCAAGUGAGUUCCUUGAUAAGCUCAUGUCCAUCUUGUUUAGACAAUAGAAACGCGUGCACUCUUGUUUUGAUUAGGAACCAAGGAGAAGACCGAAAGGGAGAAGGACUCACACUCGCUUGAUUCGGAUAGCAGCAAAGCGCCAACUUGUGACCGUUACCAUGGUUGCAUACGGAUUCGGAUUCAGGCGCUUCAGGACUUGUUGGAAAUCUUAUCAAGUCUACUUUCAUAUGAAACAAGUCCCACGUCAAUACCUAUUCGGCAGCAGCGGCAAUGAUCCAAUUACCGUCGAUAGGUCUUGUUGUCCAGGGUGCUGCGUCACCUCAUUUUGGGCUGAUGGCCCAUGUAUCAAGUUGGGUCCAUUAGGGACGCAUCCUAGGGUUGGAGGACGACCCCAACACCUCUUUGGUCAUCAAUCCAUUUACUUAUAUCCCUCUAGAGUCGCCAUGGUCGUUGGGUUUUGUUUAGAUCAAGUUUAGCCUUCGCUACUUGCUUGUAGGCGCGCGUGCAGGAUCAGCCGCCCGUCUCCUUGUCUUUAGAACCCCAUUGUUGAUUAAGAUUCAGUUUGAAACCUUCAAUUCAUCUUGCAAAUUCAGUGCUUGUUUCCUCGUUCUUGCUAGUUCUUCGAUUGCUUGCAGGACGGGAGCCCUAGGUGCUGGUUGUCGCGCUCCACAAGAUCGUGACGGCUAUUGGACGUGGUGUAUCGGUUGCUAAGGUGCGGUCUUGAGGGCUGUAGUCGGGCCUUGAACGUCAUCUCCAUCCACCAAUCGAGUUAUCCCCGUCUCUCAUCAAAAGAUCGGGCAAAAAAACCCUAGCGGAUUCGCAUCAGUUGGUAUCAGAGCAAGGUUCUUCGGUGAGAGACUUCUAAUCCUUUGCUGUUUUUAAUUAAUUUCCUAUAGUCCAGAAAAGCCAAAAAAAUAUAGUAGAUUAGUUUUUCCAUAAUCCUAUUAAACCUUUGUGCCUUGACUAGUACCGUUUUAGUUAGGGCUUGUUGAAUUUGUGUUGCUUCGGUUUGUGUCGAGUUGCUGGUCUUAGUGUCUAGUCCUUUAGAGUUUCGAGUUCUUGUCACCAUCUAUACACAGCCGAGUAUUACCAUAUCUUCUCUCUGUCGAACCUGUUGCGAAGUCUGAAUUGAACUGUGGUCUUGGUCCGGAUCGAGUAGAGUUCCAAUCUGAGUUUCCACCAACGUGAUAAAAAAAAGAAGGAAACUAAGUAGAACUCGGCAAUAGGUGGAAUCCGUUUUGUGGUUGGUUCUGAGUGGAAACCGAACAGAACUUGGAGUCCGCUUGUUAAUAUAGCCUGAACUCCGUCUAUGUGAGUCCUCCUGUGAUCCAAAAAGAAAGAUAACUCCAUACUUGUUCGGCCUUACUCUAGAGAGAGAGAGAAAAAAAAAAGUGUGUGUAGCGAAUUGCUCUUUUGUAUUCUUUUGUUCAUAUAAUUAGUUUUUGAGGUAGCCCGAAAAAAAGAAAAAAAAGAAAAGAGAAAAGAUUCACAAGAGAAAAAAAGGGGCUGUUUUUCAUAUUGAUUUUAGGUUUGUUCCACCUUGUUUUCGGGGGUGUGCUGUGGUUUUCCUUUGUGUCCAGGCUCGCGUCUCUAGCACGGUCUAGCCUAGGACCAGCACAGUACCAUCGUCGAACGCUUAUUCAGCUCGCUUUUAUAACUAACGUGGUGCUAAUUUGUUCCUUGUUUCAGCCCACCUAUAGCUCCACAUACUCUACAGCUUGACAGGUCUUGUGCUGCAGCACCGAUACACUUCGUCCAUUGACAAGACUCGAGCUGCCCCCACCAAUUCAGUUGCGAAGACGAUGCAAAAGCCUGCUGCGAGUACUUCAUCCGUGGCAUCGACGGGUAGAACAAGCAACAUACAAUGUCACCGGUGCAAGGGAUAUGGGCACAUGAUGCGUGACUGUCCAAACAAGCGAGUUAUGAUUGUCAGGGAUGAUGGUGAGAACUCAUCUGCUAGUGAUUUUGAUGAGGAUACACUUGCACUGCUUGCGACUGACCAUGCAGGUAAUGAAGAUGAAAUAGAAGAACAUAUUAAUGCAGGUGAGGCGGACCACUAUGAGAGCUUGAUCGUGCAGCGAGUGCUUAGUGCACAAAUGGAGAUGGCGGAGCAAAAUCUGCGACACAUUUUAUUCCAAACAAAGUGUGUCAUCAAAGAGCGUUCUUGUCGCAUGAUCAUUGAUGGAGGUAGCUGCAACAACUUGGCAAGCAGCGAUAUGGUGCAGAAGCUUGCCCUCAACACCAAACCACACCCGCAUCCCUACUACAUCCAAUGGCUGAACAACAGUGGUAAGGCAAAGGUAACUAGACUUGUGAGAAUUAAUUUUUCCAUCGGAUCCUACAAAGAUAUUGUUGAAUGUGAUGUUGUGCCUAUGCAAGCUUGUAACAUUCUGCUAGGUAGACCUUGGCAAUUUGAUAGAGAUUCUAUGCAUCAUGGUAGAUCAAAUCAGUAUUCUUUUCUAUACCAUGAUUGCAAAAUUGUGUUGCAUCCUAUAUCCCCUGAAACUAUUAUGCAAACUGAUGUUGCUAGGGCUACUAAAGCAAAGAGCGAGAGCAAUAAAAAUGAUAAAUCUGUAAUUGGUAACAAAGAUGAGAUAAAACUGAAAGGACGUUGUAUGAUAGCUACCAAAUCAGAUAUUAAUGAGUUCAAUGCAUCCACUUCUGUUGCUUAUGCUUUGAUAUGCAAGGAUGCUUUGAUUUCAAUUGAGGAUAUGCAAUGUUCUUUGCCCCCUGCUGUUGCUAACGUUUUGCAGGAGUAUUCUGAUGUGUUUCCAAGUGAGGUACCAGCGGGGCUGCCUCCACUACGUGGGAUUGAGCACCAAAUUGAUCUUAUUCCUGGAGCAGUUUUGCCAAAUCGUGCACCAUACAGGACAAACCCGGAGGAAACAAAGGAAAUUCAGCGACAAGUGCAAGAACUACUAGACAAAGGUUAUGUCCGAGAAUCUCUUAGUCCUUGUGCUGUUCCAGUAAUUUUAGUGCCUAAGAAAGAUGGAACAUGGCGUAUGUGUGUUGAUUGUAGAGCUAUUAAUAAUAUUACCAUUCGAUAUCGACACCCUAUUCCACGAUUAGAUGAUAUGCUAGAUGAGCUGAGUGGUGCUGUUGUGUUUUCAAAAGUUGAUUUACGUAGUGGGUACCACCAGAUUCGUAUGAAAUUGGGAGAUGAAUGGAAAACUGCUUUCAAAACUAAGUUCGGUUUGUAUGAGUGGUUAGUCAUGCCUUUUGGGUUAACUAAUGCACCUAGUACUUUCAUGAGAUUAAUGAAUGAGGUUUUGCGUGCUUUCAUUGAGAAAUUUGUUGUCGUAUAUUUUGAUGACAUAUUGAUUUACAGCAAAUCAUUGGAUGAACAUCUUGAUCAUUUACGUGCUGUUUUUAAUGCACUACGCGAGGCACGUUUAUUUGGUAACCUUGAGAAGUGCACCUUUUGCACCGAUCGAGUGUCUUUUCUUGGUUAUGUUGUGACUCCACAGGGAAUUGAGGUUGAUCAAGCCAAGGUGGAAGCUAUACAGGGAUGGCCUGUCCCAAAUACUAUCACCCAGGUGCGGAGUUUCCUAGGACUUGCUGGAUUCUAUCGCCGUUUUGUGAAGGAUUUCAGCACCAUUGCUGCACCAUUGAAUGAGCUUACAAAGAAGGGGGUGCCUUUUGAUUGGGGCAAAGCACAAGAGAAUUCAUUCAACAUGUUGAAAGAUAAGUUAACUCAUGCACCUCUCCUACAACUUCCUGAUUUUAAUAAGACUUUUGAGCUUGAAUGUGAUGCUAGUGGAAUUGGUUUGGGAGGUGUUUUAUUACAAGAGGGAAAACCUAUUGCAUAUUUUAGUGAGAAAUUGAGUGGGCCUGUUCUCAAUUAUUCAACUUAUGAUAAAGAACUCUAUGCUCUUGUUAGAACAUUAGAGACAUGGCAGCAUUAUUUGUGGCCCAAAGAGUUUAUUAUCCAUUCUAAUCAUGAAUCUUUGAAACAUAUUCGUAGUCAAGGAAAACUGAAUCGUAGGCAUGCAAAAUGGGUUGAAUUUAUUGAAUCUUUUCCUUAUAUUAUUAAGCAUAAGAAAGGGAAGGAAAAUAUUAUUGCUGAUGCUUUAUCACGGAGAUAUACUUUGCUGAAUCAACUUGAUUACAAGAUAUUUGGGUUAGAAACAGUUAAAGACCAAUAUGUUCAUGAUGCUGAUUUUAGAGACGUGUUUCUGCAUUGUAAAGAUGGAAAAGGGUGGAAUAAAUUCAUCGUUAGUGAUGGGUUUGUGUUUAGAGCUAACAAGCUAUGCAUUCCAGCUAGCUCUGUUCGUUUGUUGUUGUUGCAGGAAGCGCAUGGAGGUGGCUUGAUGGGACAUUUUGGAGCAAAGAAGACCGAGAACAUACUUGCUGGUCAUUUCUUUUGGCCAAGGAUGAAGAGAGAUGUGGAGAGGUUUGUUGCUCGUUGCACAACAUGUCAAAAGGCAAAGUCACGGUUAAAUCCCCACGGUUUGUAUUUACCUCUUCCUGUUCCUAAUGCUCCUUGGGAGGAUAUAUCUAUGGAUUUUGUGUUGGGACUACCAAGGACUUGGAGGGGACGUGAUAGUGUGUUUGUGGUUGUUGAUAGAUUUUGUAAGAUGGCACAUUUCAUACCAUGUCAUAAAACUGAUGAUGCUACAAAUAUUGCUGAUUUGUUCUUUCGAGAAAUUGUUCUCUUACAUGGUGUGCCCAACACAAUUGUUUCUGAUCGUGAUGCUAAAUUUCUUAGUCAUUUUUGGAAGACUUUGUGGUUCAAAUUGGGGACUAAGCUUUUAUUUUCCACCACUUGUCAUCCCCAAACUGAUGGUCAAACUGAAGUUGUUAAUAGAACUUUAUCCACUAUGUUAAGGGCUGUUUUAAAGAAGAAUAUUAAGAUGUGGGAAGAAUGUUUGCCUCAUAUUGAGUUCGCCUAUAAUCGUUCAUUGCAUUCUACUACAAAAAUGUGUCCUUUUGAGAUUGUCUAUGGCUUCUUGCCACGUGCUCCUAUUGAUUUAAUGCCUUUGCCAAGUUCUGAAAAAAUAAAUUUUGAUGCUAAGCAACGUGCUGAAUUGAUGUUAAAAUUGCAUGAAGCCACUAAACAAAACAUAGAGCGCAUGAAUGCUAAGUACAAAUGCGCUGGAGAUAAAGGUAGAAAGCAAUUGAUUCUGGAACCUGGGGAUUUGGUUUGGUUGCAUUUGCGAAAAGAUAGAUUUCCAGAACUGAGAAAAUCCAAAUUGAUGCCUAGAGCUGAUGGUCCUUUUAAAGUGCUGCAACGAAUUAAUGAGAAUGCAUAUAAGCUUGAUCUUCCUGCAGAUUUUGGGGUUAGUCCCACAUUUAACAUUGCAGAUUUAAAGCCUUAUUUGGGUGAGGAAGAUGAGCUUGAGUCGAGGACGACUCAAAUGCAAGCAAGGGAGGAUGAUGAGGACAUCAACACCAGCGAUACAUCCUCUCCGACACAACCUAUAGCUGGUCCUCUUACUCGUGCUCGUGUUCGUCAACUUAAUAAUCAAGUGAGUUCCUUGAUAAGUUCUUGUCCAUCUUGUUUAGACAAUGGAAACGCGUGCACUCUUGUUUUGAUUAGGAACCAAGGAGAAGACCGACAGGGAGAAGGACUCAUGCUCGCUGGAUUCGGACAGCAGCAAAGCGCCAACUUGUGACCGUUACCACGGUUGCAUACGGAUAAGGAUUCAGGCGCUUCAGGACUUGUUGGAAAGCUUAUCAAGUCUACUUUCAUAUGAAUCAAGUCCCACGUCAAUACCUGUUCGGCAGCAGCGGCAAUGAUCCAAUUACCGUCGAUAGGUCUUGCUGUCCACGGUGCUGCGUCACCUCAUUUCAGGCUGAUGGCCAUUGUAUCAAGUUGGGUCCAUUAGGGACGCAUCCUAGGGUUGGAGGACGACCCCAACACGUCUUUGGUCGUCAAUCCAUCUACUUAUAUCCCUCUAGAGCCGCCAUGGUCGUUGGGUUUUGUUUAGAUCAAGUUUAGCCUUCGCUACUUGCUUGUAGGCGCGCGUGCAGGAUCAGCCGCCCGUCUCCUUGUCUUCGGAACCCCAUUGUUGAUUCAGAUUCAGUUUGAAACCUUCAAUUCAUCUUGCAAAUUCAGUGCUUGUUUCCUCGUUCUUGCUAGUUCUUCGACUGCUUGCAGGACGGGAGCCCUAGGGGCUGGUUGUCGCGCUCCACAAGAUCGUGACGGCUAUUGGACGUGGUGUAUCGGUUGCUAAGGCGCGGUCUUGAGGGCUGUAGUCGGGCCGUGAACGUCAUCUCCAUCCACCAAUCGAGUUAUCCCCGUCUCUCAUCAAAAGAUCAGGCAAAAACCCUAGCGGGUUCGCAUCAUAUCUUACACCAAAAUUAGCACUAUCUCUAAACAGACCGAGCCUCCACUUGAGCCUCUUCACCUAGGAGUACCAACAGGUGCUUCCAAAAUGGUUUCUUAGACUUUGGUGCAUUAGGCGCAAACCGUGCACAUAUCUUGCACCGAAACUAAUACUAUCUCUAAGCACACCAAAGCGAGAUUCCAUAUGACACACGUCAUCAAGGAGUUCUAUCGGUGUGUCCAAAUUAAUUUCUAAGCAUAUGGUACGUUCCAUGCAGACCGUGCAUCUAUCUUGCAUCAAGAUUAGCACUAUCUCUAAAUAGACCAAACCGAGCUUUCACUUGAGCCUUUUAUCUAGGAGUACCAUCGGGUGCGUCGAAAAUGGUUUCUUAGCCUAUGCUGCAUUAUGUGUAAACUUUGCACCUAUCUUGCACCAAAACUAACACUGUCUCCAAGCAGACCAAAGCAAGAUUUUAUAUGACACACGUCAUCUAGGAGUUCCAUCAUGUGCGUCCAGAUUGAUUUCCAAGCAUUUGGUAUGUUGCAUGCAAACCGUGCACCUAUCUUGCAUCAAGAUUAGCACUAUCUCUAAACAGACCGAACUGAGCAUCCACUUGAGCCCCUUCACCUAGGAGUACCAACAAGUGCGUCCAAAAUGGUUUCUUAGGCUAUGCUGCAUUAGGUGCAAACUGUGCACAUAUCUUGCACCGAAACUAACAAUGUCUCCAAAUGGACCGAAGCGAGAUUCCAUAGGACACACGUCGUCAAGGAGUUCCAUCGGGUGCAUCCAAAUUGAUUUCCAAGCAUAUUGUAUGUUCCAUGCAAACCAUGCACCUACCUUGCAUAAGGAUUAGCACUAUGUCCAAACUGACCGAACCAAGCUUCCACUUGAGCCGCUUCACCCAAGAGUACCAAAUAGUGCAUCCAAAAUGGUUUCUUAGACUUUGGUGCAUUAGGCGCAAACUGUGCACCUAUCUUUCACCAAAACUUACAAUGUCUACAAACAGACCGAAGCAAGAUUCCAUAUGACACACGUCAUCUAGGAGUUCCAUUGGGUGUGUCCAAAUUGAUUUCUAAGCAUAUGGUAUGUUCCUUGCAAAUCAUGCACCUAUCUUGCAUCAAGAUUAGCACUAUCUCCAAACAUAUCAAACCGAGCUUCCACUUGAGCCUCUUCACCGAAGUACCAACAGGUGCUUCCAAAAUGGUUUCUUAAACUAUGGUGCAUUAGGCGCAAACCAUGCACAUAUUUUGCACCGAAACUAACACUAUUUCUAAACAGACCAAAGUGAGAUUCCAUAUGACACAUGUCAUCAAGGAGUUCCAUCGGGUGCAUUCAAAUUGAUUUCCAAGCAUAUGGUAUGUUCCAUGCAAACCGUGCACCUAUCUUGCAUCAAGAUAAACACUAUCUCCAAACAGACCGAACCGAGCUUCCACUUGAGCCUCUUCAUCUAGGAGUACAAACAGGUGUGUCAAAAAUGGUUUCUUAGACUAUGGUGCAUUAGACACAAACUAUGCACCUAUCUUGCACCGAAACUAACAUUGUCUCCAAACAGACCGAAGCGAGAUUCCAUAUGACACACGUCAUCUAGGAGUUCCAUUGGGUGCGUCCAAAUUGAUUUCUUAACAUAUGGUACGUUGCAUGAAAACUGUGCAACUAUCUUGCAUCAAGGUUAGCACUAUAUCCGAACAGAACAAAUCGAGCCUCCACUUGAGCCUCUUCAACUACGAGUACCAUCGGGUGUGUCUAAAAUGGUUUCUUAGCCUAUGGUGCAUUAGGCGUAAACCGUGCACAUAUCUUCUACCAAAACUAACACUGUCUCUAAACGAACCGAAGCAAGAUUCCAUAUGACGUAAAUCAUCAAGGAGUUAUAUCAGGUGCGUCCUAAUUGAUUUCUAAGCAUAUCGUAUGUUCCAUGCAAACCAUGCAUCAAUCUUGCAUCAAGAUUAGCACUAUCUCCAAAUAGACCGAACCGAGCAUCCACUUGAGCCCCUUCACCUAGGAGUACCAACAAGUGCGUCCAAAAUGGUUUCUUGGACUAUGGUGCAUUAGGUGCAAACUGUGCACCUAUCUAGCACCGAAACUAACAAUGUCUCCAAAUGGACCGAAGCAAGAUUCCAAAUGACACACGUCAUCAAGGAGUUCCAUCGGGUGCAUCCAAAUUGAUUUCCAAGCAUAUGGUAUGUUCCAUGCAAAUCGUGCACCUAUCUUGCAUCAAGACUAGCACUGUCUCUAAACAGACCGAACCGAGCCUCCACUUGAGCCUCUUCACCUAGGAGUACCAACAGGAGCUUCCAAAAUAGUUUCUUAGACUUUGGUGCAUUAGGCGCAAACCAUGCACAUAUCUUGCACCGAAACAUAUUCUAUCUAAGCACACCAAAGCGAUAUUCCAUAUGACACACGUCAUCAAGGAGUUCUAUCGGGUGUGUCCAAAUUAAUUUCUAUGCAUAUGGUACGUUCCAAGCAGACCAUGCAUCUAUCUUCCAUCUAGAUUAGCACUAUCUCCAAAUAGACCAAAUCGAGCUUUCAAUUGAGCCUUUUACCUAGGAGUACCAUCGGGUGCGUCCAAAAUGGUUUCUUAGCCUAUGCUGCAUUAUGUGCAAACCUUGCACCUAUCUUGCACCAAAACUAACACUAUCUCCUAACGGACUAAAGCAAGAUUUUGAAUGACGCACAUCAUCUAAGAGUUCUAUCAUGUGCGUCCAGAUUGAUUUCCAAGCAUUUGGUAUAUUCCAUGCAAACCGUGCACCUAUCUUGCAUCAAGAUUAGCACUGUCUCCAAACAGACCGAACCGAGCAUCCACUUGAGCCCCUUCACUUAGGAGUACCAACAAGUGCGUCCAAAUUGGUUUCAUAGAGUAUGGUGCAUUAGGUGCAAACUGUGCACCUAUCUUGCACUGAAACUAACAAUGUCUCCAAAUGGACCGAAGCGAGAUUCCAUAUGACACACGUCGUCAAGGAGUUCCAUCGGGUGCAUCCAAAUUGAUUUCCAAGCAUAUGGUAUGUUCCAUGAAAACCAUGCACCUACCUUGCAUAAGGAUUAGCACUAUCUCCAAACUGACCGAACCAAGCUUCCACUUGAGCCUCUUCACCUAAGAGUUCCAAAUAGUACGUCCAAAAUGGUUUCUUAGACUAUAGUGCAUUAGGCGCAAACUGUGCACCUACCUUGCACUAAAACUUACAAUGUCUACAAACGGAUCGAAGCAAGAUUCCAUAUGACACACGUCAUCUAGGAGUUCCAUUGGGUGCGUCCAAAUUGAUUUCUAAGCAUAUGGUAUGUUCCUUGCAAAUCAUGCACCUAUCUUGCAUCAAGAUUAGCAAUAUCUCCAAACAGAUCAAACCGACCUUCCACUUGAGCCUCUUCACCGAAGUACUAACAAGUGCUUCCAAAAUGGUUUCUUAGACUAUGGUGCAUUAGGCGCAAACCAUGCACAUAUCAUGCACCGAAACUCACACUAUUUCUAAACAGACCAAAGUGAGAUUCCAUAUGACACACGUCAUCAAGGAGUUCCAUCGGGUGCAUCCAAAUUGAUUUCCAAGCAUAUGGUAUGUUCUAUGCAAACCGUGCACCUAUCUUGCAUCAAGAUUAGCACUAUCUCCAAACAGACCGAACCGAGCUAACACUUGAGCCUCUUCAUCUAGGAGUACAAACAGGUGUGUCAAAAAUAGUUUCUUAGACUAUAGUGCAUUAUGCACAAACUAUGCACCUAUCUUGCACCAAAACUAACAUUAUCUCCAAACAGACCGAAGCGAGAUUCAAUAUGACACACAUCAUCUAGGAGUUCCAUUGGGUGCGUCCAAAUUGAUUUCUUAACAUAUGGUACGUUGCAUGCAAACUGUGCAACUAUAUUGCAUCAAGAUUGGCACUAUAUCCGAAUAGACCAAAUCGAGCCUCCACUUGAGCCUGUUCAACUACGAGUACCAUCGGGUGCGUCUAAAAUGGUUUCUUAGCCUAUGGUGCAUUAGGCGUAAACCGUGCACAUAUCUUCUACCAAAACUAACACUAUCUCUAAACGAACCGAAGCAAGAUUCCAUAUGACACAAAUCAUCAAGGAGUUAUAUCAGGUGCGUCCUAAUUGAUUUCUAAGCAUAUCGUAUGUUCCAUGCAAACCAUGCAUCUAUCUUGCAUCAAGAUUAGCACUAUCUCCAAACAGACCGAACCAAGCAUCCACUUGAGCCCCUUCACCUAGGAGUACCAACAAGUGCGUCCAAAAUGGUUUCUUAGACUAUGGUGCAUUAGGUGCAAACUGUGCACCUAUCUUGCACCGAAACUAACAAUGUCUCCAAAUGGACCGAAGCGAGAUUCAAAAUGACACACGUCAUCAAGGAGUUCCAUCGGGUGCAUCCAAAUUGAUUUCCAUGUAUAUGGUAUGUUCCAUGCAAAUCGUGCACCUAUCUUGCAUCAAGACUAGCACUAUCUCUAAACAGACCGAACCGAGCCUCCACUUGAGCCUCUUCACCUAGGAGUACCAAUAGGUGCUUCCAAAAUGGUUUCUUAGACUUUGGUGCAUUAGGCGCAAACCGUGCACAUAUCUUGCACCGAAACUAAUACUAUCUCUAAGCAUACCAAAGCGAGAUUCCAUAUGACACACGUCAUCAAGGAGUUCUAUCGGGUGUGUCCAAAUUAAUUUCUAAGUAUAUGGUACGUUCCAUGGAGACCUUGCAUCUAUCUUGCAUCAAGAUUAGCACUAUCACCAAAUAGACCAAACCAAGCUUUCACUUGAGCCUUUUAUCUAGGAGUACCAUCGGGUGCGUCCAAAAUAGUUUCUUAGCCUAUGCUGCAUUAUGUGUAAACUUUGCACCUAUCUUGCACCAAAACUAACACUGUCUCCAAGCAUACCAAAGCAAGAUUUUAUAUGACACACGUCCUCUAGGAGUUCCAUCAUGUGCGUCCAGAUUGAUUUCCAAGCAUUUGGUAUGUUCCAUGCAAACCGUACACCUAUCUUGCAUCAAGAUUAGCACUAUCUCUAAACAGACCGAACCGAGCAUCCACUUGAGCCCCUUCACCAAGGAGUACCAACAAGUGCGUCCAAAAUGGUUUCUUAGGCUAAUUAGGUGCAAACUGUGCACAUAUCUUGCAUCGAAACUAAUAAUGUCUCCAAAUGGACCGAAGCGAGAUUCCAUAUGACACACGUCGUCAAGGAGUUCCAUCGGGUGCAUCCAAAUUGAUUUCCAUGCAUAUUGUAUGUUCCAUGCAAACCAUGCACCUGCCUUGCAUAAGGAUUAGCACUAUGUCCAAACUGACCGAACCAAGCUUCCACUUGAGCCGCUUCACCCAAGAGUACCAAAUAGUGCAUCCAAAAUGGUUCUUAGACUAUGGUGCAUUAGGCGCAAACUAUGCACCUAUCUUGCACUAAAACUUACAAUGUCUACAAACAAACUGAAGCAAGGUUCCAUAUGACACACGUCAUCUAGGAGAUCCAUUGGGUGCGUCCAAAUUGAUUUCUAAGCAUAUGGUAUGUUCCUUGCAAAUCAUGCACCUAUCUUGCAUCAAGAUUAGCACUAUCUCCAAACAGAUCAAACCGAGCUUCCACUUGAGCCUCUUCACCGAAGUACCAACAAGUGCUUCCAAAAUGGUUUCUUAGACUAUGGUGCAUUAGGCGCAAACCAUGCACAUAUCUUGUACCGAAACUAACUAUUUCUAAACUGACUAAAGUGAGAUUCCAUAUGACACACGUCAUCAAGGAGUUCCAUCGGGUGCAUCCAAAUUGAUUUCCAAGCAUAUGGUAUGUUCCAUGCAAACCGUGCACCUAUCUUGCAUCAUGAUUAGCACUAUCUCCAAACAGACCGAACCGAGCUUCCACUUGAGCCUCUUCAUCUAGGAGUACAAACAGGUGUGUCAAAAAUAGUUUCUUAGACUAUGGUGCAUUACGCAACAACUAUGCACCUAUCUUGCAACGAAACUAACAUUGUCUCCAAACAGACCGAAGCGAGAUUCAAUAUGACACACGUCAUCUAGGAGUUCCAUUGGGUGCGUCCAAAUUGAUUUCUUAACAUAUGGUACGUUGCAUGCAAACUGUGCAACUAUCUUGCAUCAAGAUUGGCACUAUAUCCGAACAGACCAAAUCGAGCCUCCACUUGAGCCUCUUCAACUACGAGUACCAUCGGGUGCGUCUAAAAUGGUUUCUUAGCCUAUGGUGCAUUAGGCGUAAACUGUGCACAUAUCUUCUACCAAAACUAACACUGUCUCUAAACAAACCAAAGCAAGAUUCCUUAGGACACAAAUCAUCAAGGAGUUAUAUCAGGUGCGUCCUAAUUGAUUUCUAAGCAUAUCGUAUGUUCCAUGCAAACCAUGCAUCUAUCUUGCAUCAAGAUUAGCACUAUCUCCAAACAGACCGAACCAAGCAUCCACUUGAGCCCCUUCACCUAGGAGUACCAACAAGUGCGUCCAAAAUGGUUUCUUAGACUAUGGUGCAUUAGGUGCAAACUGUGCACCUAUCUUGCACCGAAACUAACAAUGUCUCCAAAUGGACCGAAGCGAGAUUCAAAAUGACACACGUCAUCAAGGAGUUCCAUCGGGUGCAUCCAAAUUGAUUUCCAUGUAUAUGGUAUGUUCCAUGCAAAUCGUGCACCUAUCUUGCAUCAAGACUAGCACUAUCUCUAAACAGACCGAACCGAGCCUCCACUUGAGCCUCUUCACCUAGGAGUACCAAUAGGUGCUUCCAAAAUGGUUUCUUAGACUUUGGUGCAUUAGGCGCAAACCGUGCACAUAUCUUGCACCGAAACUAAUACUAUCUCUAAGCAUACCAAAGCGAGAUUCCAUAUGACACACGUCAUCAAGGAGUUCUAUCGGGUGUGUCCAAAUUAAUUUCUAAGUAUAUGGUACGUUCCAUGGAGACCUUGCAUCUAUCUUGCAUCAAGAUUAGCACUAUCACCAAAUAGACCAAACCAAGCUUUCACUUGAGCCUUUUAUCUAGGAGUACCAUCGGGUGCGUCCAAAAUAGUUUCUUAGCCUAUGCUGCAUUAUGUGUAAACUUUGCACCUAUCUUGCACCAAAACUAACACUGUCUCCAAGCAUACCAAAGCAAGAUUUUAUAUGACACACGUCCUCUAGGAGUUCCAUCAUGUGCGUCCAGAUUGAUUUCCAAGCAUUUGGUAUGUUCCAUGCAAACCGUACACCUAUCUUGCAUCAAGAUUAGCACUAUCUCUAAACAGACCGAACCGAGCAUCCACUUGAGCCCCUUCACCAAGGAGUACCAACAAGUGCGUCCAAAAUGGUUUCUUAGGCUAAUUAGGUGCAAACUGUGCACAUAUCUUGCAUCGAAACUAAUAAUGUCUCCAAAUGGACCGAAGCGAGAUUCCAUAUGACACACGUCGUCAAGGAGUUCCAUCGGGUGCAUCCAAAUUGAUUUCCAUGCAUAUUGUAUGUUCCAUGCAAACCAUGCACCUGCCUUGCAUAAGGAUUAGCACUAUGUCCAAACUGACCGAACCAAGCUUCCACUUGAGCCGCUUCACCCAAGAGUACCAAAUAGUGCAUCCAAAAUGGUUCUUAGACUAUGGUGCAUUAGGCGCAAACUAUGCCCCUAUCUUGCACUAAAACUUACAAUGUCUACAAACAAACUGAAGCAAGGUUCCAUAUGACACACGUCAUCUAGGAGAUCCAUUGGGUGCGUCCAAAUUGAUUUCUAAGCAUAUGGUAUGUUCCUUGCAAAUCAUGCACCUAUCUUGCAUCAAGAUUAGCACUAUCUCCAAACAGAUCAAACCGAGCUUCCACUUGAGCCUCUUCACCGAAGUACCAACAAGUGCUUCCAAAAUGGUUUCUUAGACUAUGGUGCAUUAGGCGCAAACCAUGCACAUAUCUUGUACCGAAACUAACACUAUUUCUAAACAGACUAAAGUGAGAUUCCAUAUGACACACGUCAUCAAGGAGUUCCAUCGGGUGCAUCCAAAUUGAUUUCCAAGCAUAUGGUAUGUUCCAUGCAAACCGUGCACCUAUCUUGCAUCAUGAUUAGCACUAUCUCCAAACAGACCGAACCGAGCUUCCACUUGAGCCUCUUCAUCUAGGAGUACAAACAGGUGUGUCAAAAAUAGUUUCUUAGACUAUGGUGCAUUACGCAACAACUAUGCACCUAUCUUGCAACGAAACUAACAUUGUCUCCAAACAGACCGAAGCGAGAUUCAAUAUGACACACGUCAUCUAGGAGUUCCAUUGGGUGCGUCCAAAUUGAUUUCUUAACAUACGGUACGUUGCAUGCAAACUGUGCAACUAUCUUGCAUCAAGAUUGGCAUUAUAUCCGAACAGACCAAAUCGAGCCUCCACUUGAGCCUCUUCAACUACGAGUACCAUCGGGUGCGUCUAAAAUGGUUUCUUAGCCUAUGGUGCAUUAGGCGUAAACUGUGCACAUAUCUUCUACCAAAACUAACAUUGUCUCUAAACGAACCAAAGCAAGAUUCCUUAUGACACAAAUCAUCAAGGAGUUAUAUCAGGUGCGUCCUAAUUGAUUUCUAAGCAUAUCGUUUGUUCCAUGCAAACCAUGCAUCUAUCUUGCAUCAAGAUUAGCACUAUCUCCAAACAGACCGAACCAAGCAUCCACUUGAGCCCCUUCACCUAGGAGUACCAACAAGUGCGUCCAAAAUGGUUUCUUAGACUAUGGUGCAUUAGGCGCAAACUGUGCACAUUUCUUGCACCAAAACUAACAUGGUCUCCAAACAGACCGAAAGCGAGAUUCCAUAUGAGACGUCAUCUNNNNNNNNNNNNNNNNNNNNNNNNNNNNNNNNNNNNNNNNNNNNNNNNNNNNNNNNNNNNNNNNNNNNNNNNNNNNNNNNNNNNNNNNNNNNNNNNNNNNCAACCGAGCUUUCCUUGAGCCUUUUACCUAGGAGUACCAUCGGGUGCGUGCAAAAUGGUUUCUUAGUCUAUGCUGCAGUAUGUGCAAACCUUACACCUAUCUUGCACCAAAACUAACACUGUCUCCAAACAGACCGAAGCAAGAUUUCAUAUGACACACGUCAUCUAGGAGUUCCAUCAUGUGCUUCCAGAUUGAUUUCCAAGCAUUUGGUAUGUUCCAUGCAAACCGUGCACCUAUCUUGCAUUAAGAUUAGCACUAUCUCCAAACAGACUGAACCGAGCAUCCACUUGACCCCCUUCACCUAGGAGUACCAACAAGUGCGUCCAAAAUGGUUUCUUAGACUAUGGUGCAUUAGGUGCAAAUUGUGCACCUAUCUUCCACUGAAACUAACAAUAUCUCGAAAUGGACCGAAGCGAGAUUCCAUAUGACAUCCAUCGGGUGCAUCCAAAUCGAUUUCCAAGCAUAUGGUAUGUUCCAUGCAAACCGUGCACCUAUCUUGCAUCAACAUUAACACUAUCUCCAAACAGACCGAACCGAGCUUCCAAUUGAGCCUCUUCAUCUAGGAGUACAAACAGGUGCCUCAAAAAUGAUUUCUUAGACUAUGGUGCAUUAGGCACAAACUAUGCACCUAUCUUGCACCGGAACUAACAUUAUCUCCAAACAGACUGAACCGAGCUUGUACUUGAGCCUCUUCAUCUAGGAGUACAAACAGGUGCGUUAAAAAUGGUUUCUUAGACAAUGGUGCAUUAGGCACAAACUAUGCACCUAUCUUGCACUGAAACUAACAUUGUCUCCAAACAGACCGAAGCGAGAUUCCAUAUGACACACGUCAUCUAGGAGUUCCAUUGGGUGCAUCCAAAUUGAUUUCUUAGCAUAUGGAACGUUCCAUGCAAACUGUGCAACUAUCUUACAUCAAGACUAGCACUAUAUCUGAACAGACCAAAUCGAGCCUCCACUUGAGCCUCUUCAACUAUGAGUACCGUCAGGUGCGUUUAAAAUGGUUUCUUAGCCUAUGGUGCGUUUAAAAUGGUUUCUUAGCCAAAUCGUGCACCUAUCUUGCAUUAAGAUUAGCACUAUCUCCAAACAGACUGAACCGAGGAUCCACUUGAGCCCCUUCACCUAGGAGUACCAACAAGUGCGUCCAAAACGGUUUCUUAGACUUUGGUGCAAACUGUGCACCUAUCUUGCACUAAAACUAACAAUAUCUCCAAAUGGACCGAAGUGAGAUUCCAUAUGACACAUGUCAUCUAGGAGUUCCAUUGGGUGCAUCCAAAUUGAUUUCUGAGCAUAUGGUAUGUUCCAUGCAAAUCGUGCACUUAUCUUGCGUCAAGAUUAACACUAUCUCUAAACAGACCGAACCGAGCCUCCACUUGAGCCUCUUCACCUAGGAGUACCAAUAGGUGCUUCCAAAAUGGUUUCUUAGACUUUGGUGCAUUAGGCGUAAACCGUGCACAUAUCUUGCACCGAAACUAAUACUGUCCCUAAGCACACAAAAGCGAGAUUCCAUAUGACACACGUCAUCAAGGAGUUCUAUCGGGUGUGUCCAAAUUAAUUUCUAAGCAUAUGGUAUGUUCCAUGCAGACCGUGCAUCUAUCUUGCAUCAAGAUUAGCACUAUCUCCAAAUAGACCAAACCAAGCUUUCACUUGAGCCUUUUACUUAGGAGUACCAUCGGGUGCAUCCAAAAUGGUUUCUUAGCCUAUGCUGCAUUAUGUACAAACCUUGCACCUAUCUUGCACCAAAACUAACACUGUCUCCAAACAGACCAAAGCAAGAUUUUGUAUGACACACGCCAUCUAGAAUUCCGUCAUGUGCAUAUAGAUUGAUUUCCAAGAAUUUGGUAUGUUCCAUGCAAACCGUGCACCUAUCUUGCAUCAAGAUUAGCACUAUCUCCAAACAGACCGAACCGAGUAUCCACUUGAGCCCCUUCACCUAGGAGUACCAACAAGUGCAUCCAAAAUGGUUUCUUAGACUAUGGUGCAUUAGGUGCAAACUGUGCAUCUAUCUUGCACCGAAACUAACAAUGUCUCCAAAUGGACCGAAGCGAGAUUCCAUAUGGCACACGUCAUCAAGGAGUUCCAUCGGGUGCAUCCAAAUUGAUUUCCAAGCAUAUGGUAUGUUCCAUGCAAACGAUACACCUACCUUGCAUAAGGAUUAGCACUGUCUCCAAACUGACCAAACCAAGCUUCCACUUGAGCCUCUUCACCUAGGAGUACCAAAUCGUGCGUCCAAAAUGGUUUCUUAGACUAUGGUGCAUUAGGCACAAACUGUGCACCUAUCUUGCACUAAAACUUACAAUGUCUACAAACGGACUGAAGCAAGAUUCCAUAUGACACACGUCAUCUAGAAGUUCCAUUGGGUGCGUCCAAAUUGAUUUCUAAGCAUAUGGUAUGUUCCUUACAAAUCAUGCACCUAUCUUGCAUCAAGAUUAGCACUAACUCCAAAUAAAUCAAACCGAGCUUCCACUUGAGCCUCUUCACCGAAGUACCAACAGGUGCUUCCAAAAUGGUUUCUUAGACUAUAGUGCAUUAGGCGCAAACCCUGCAGAUAUCUUGCACCAAAACUAAUACUGUUUCUAAACAGACCAAUGUGAGAUUCCAUAUGACACAUGUCAUCAAGGAGUUCCAUUGGGUGCGUCCAAAUUGAUUUCUAAGCAUAUGGUAUGUUCCAUGCAAACUGUGCACCUAUCUUGCAUCAUGAUUGGCACUAUGUCCAAACAGACCAAACCGAGCUUCCACUUGAGCCUCUUCAUCUAGGAGUACAAACAGGUGUGUCAAAAAUGGUUUCUUAGACUAUGGUGCAUUAGGCACAAACUAUGCACCUAUCUUGCACCGAAACUAACAUUGUCUCCAAACAGACCGAAGCGAGAUUCCAUAUGACACACAUCAUCUAGGAUUUCCAUUGGGUGCGUCCAAAUUGAUUUCUUAACAUAUGGUACGUUGCAUGCAAACUGUGGAACUAUCUUGCAUCAACAUUAGCACUAUAUCCGAACAGACCAAAUCGAGCCUCCACUUGAGCCUCUUCAACUAUGAGUACCAUCGGGUGCGUCUAAAAUUGCUUAGCCUAUGGUGCAUUAGGCGUAAACCGUGCACAUAUCUUCUACCAAAACUAACACUGUCUCUAAACGAACCGAAGCAAGAUUCCAUAUGACACAAAUCAUCAAGGAGUUAUAUCAGGUGUGUCCUAAUUGAUUUCUAAGCAUAUCGUAUGUUCCAUGCAAACCGUGCAUCUAUCUUGCAUCAAGAUUAGCACUAUCUCCAAACAGACCGAACCGAGCAUCCACUUGAGCCCCUUCACCUAGGAGUACCAACAAGUGCGUCCAAAAUGGUUUCUUAGACUAUGGUGCAUUAGGUGCAAACUGUGCACCUAUCUUGCACCAAAACUAACAAUGUCAUGUGUUGUGUGCACCCACGAUCAAGUACCCAAUGCCUUCCUCCGGCUUUAUAAUUUAUCUACAAAACAAAUCAGUGUUUCUUAGGUACCCAUACUUGUUUGGGUCCUUGGAGGUUAGUGACUAAGCUUUUUGUACCCAAAUGGCCUUCUUCUUUGGACCCACAAUUGGUGUACCAACAAACUUAGCAUGCACACCCUUCUCACCCUUGGUAAGCACAUAACAAGAAUCAAAUGGAAUGUAAGAUACAUUAGCAUUUUUCUUGUUCUUGUUCACUUUAUUGCAAUUAAGCUCUAGGUGCCCAACUUGCUUGCAUUUGUUGCAAUACCAACUGUUGCUCUUCACAAAGCUAGGCUUGUGAGUUGCAAAGGCCGCCUUGCCUUUCUUGGGGGUAUAGCCUAAUCCCUCUUUGUUUAGAGAAAACCUUUGACUACCCAAGCACUUUAGCAAGCGGGCCUCACCACCAUAGGCCUUGCCUAGGGCGUGAGUGAGCUCAUCCACCUCUCUCUUGAGAGUCUCAUUCUCAACCUUUAGUGAGGUAUCACAAGUGACACUAACACUAGAAGUAGAGGUAGAGUUGGUGGUGGUGGAUGAAGACCUACAAGAAGAGUUAGUGGCAACAACAAUAGGUGGGUUGGGUGAUUCUUUAAUUAAGUCACAUGUUGUGCCCACAUCACAUGAUACAACAACCUUUUCCCUGUUCUCUUCUAACAACAAGGAGUGAGCUUUCUCAAGCUUGGUGUGAGCCUUGUCAAGCUUCUCAUGGGCUUCCACUAGCCUCUCAUGAUUAGCAUUGAGCUCAUCAAAGGAUUGCUCUAGAGCUUUUAACUUCUUGGCCAAUUCUUUGCACUUCUUGUUUUUAGAUUGAAUGAGAGAUUCGGCUUGUUCUAACAUGUCCAUGAGUUGUUCAUUAGUGAAUUUAUUUUCAUCAUCACUAUCACUAUCAUGUUCAUGUUCACUUUCACUUUCAUCAUAUUGUACCUUGUGGCACUUGGCCAUGAAGCAUGAAGGAGUGUCGAAGAGUGAUGGCUUGUUGAUAGCAAUGCUUGCAAGUGCCUUCUUUUUGGAUGAUUUGUAAUCAUCGCUUGAGUCAUCAUCCGAAGAGGCAUCACUAUCCCAUGUCACAACAUAGGAUCCACCCUUCUUCUUCUUCUUGAAGACCAACUUCUUCUCUUUCUUUUCUUUCUUCUCCUUCUUGUUCUUCUUGUUAUGCUCAUCAUUGUCACUAUUGUAAGGACAAUCCGCCACAAUAUGAUCGGGGCUCUUGCACUUGUAGCAUAGCCUCACAUAUUCCUUGUUCUUGGAGUUGUCCCUUCUCUUCCUUGUAUGGUAGCCCUUUUUCUUCAUCAUCUUGCCAAACUUGCGGACAAAGAGUGCUAGUGCUUCAUCAUCACUAUUGUUGGGUAUUCUUAACAUCAUUACCAAAAGUAGACUAAGUUCUCUAAAUCUAGUAACGGUGCCGAAAAUGCCAAACCUAUCCCUCACACCACUUAAGCCAAGUUGUCAUCCCCAGCAUGACAUGAGAGAUGCGGUAUUGAAAUAUGCAAUUGCUCUUCUAAAUAAAUAAUGAAUGGGAUCUGCAAGCGCACAGAUUAAUACCGAUGUAGCAUUUUAACCGGGAAGUAUUCCAGGUAUCGUUAUUUAUAUUUUUACCACUGGGAAGGGAUUAACAAUCAUCAAUAUUGAUUACAGAAUAGAAUAUGAGAUUGAGUAUCUAUCAUUGCAUGUAUAAUUGAGAACAUUUAUCUAACUCUUUCAUACAGGGAUAAGUGUCACAUUAAAGAUAUAUGAAGUAAUAAUUAGUGACAAAGAUAAUUAGUCUGAUCUAGCCACAUAAUAAAUAUGAUAAGCACCUCAAUUAGAUACUCUAGAAAGUCAUUAGCAUGGUAUUAGAACGAACUACAAGAAUAUUUCCUAAGUUAUUCUCAACUAUAUAGUCUAGCAUUAUCAUAAUUAGUGCAAGCAUACUUAGCAAUCAUUGUGAGACAAGACUACGCCCAUGCAUAGUGAUAUUAGCAAGGUAAAUGAGAAACAUAGCAAUCACUCUCCUGUAAUAAUAUUGCUCUGCCAGCCCAAUACACGAGAGGGGGACUAUAUAAGAAUCAAUGAAGCUGUCACUAUCACGAACUACCCCACGAUCUGGCAUAUUGGGUACAAUCGCAGAUAAAUACGGUAUAAGCACCACACCUACACAAUAUAUAUCAUUUACCCAUGGAUCCGAUGGAUAAAUGCUAUACGAUCCUAAGCAUGUAUAUAGAUCUAAUCUAACUAAGCCAAGUACAUAACUAUGAUAAACUAAGAACAAUAUAAUCUUGAAUAUAAGCAAGUAGAGCAAAGUCAUAAGCAAUAUAUUGAAGUAGAACAAAGUCAUAUUCAUAAUAUUGAAGAACAAAGAUAAUUAGAAAGCAAUUAGAAGCACAAUUAGAGAAUUACCAAGAAUCCUCCUGACAGGUCCGGAAACCAAUCGAAGAUUGACUCCUUCUAGUUCUAAUCCUAUGUACCUAUGCUAAUCUAGAUGUCUAAUUGAUGUGGUGGCUCUAAUCUUGAUCAGAGGCUUCUUUUCCCUUGAAGAGUAAUGAAUUAGGGUUGAGAGGCUCUCUCCUCUAGGGGCCAGGGGGUCUGGUUUUAUAGUCCCUUCAAGUGAAUAUGGGCCGUUAGAUAAAACCGACAUUGAUUGAACGGUUAUCCUUGAUCCUUUAGGUCAGUGGAGCUCCCACGAAACAGAGUCCUGAUUGGACUCAGAGAGGGGGCGGGCGCCCUGCCUCUAGCCCCGUUCGGCCUCCGCUUUCUUUCCGUGGCUUCUGAAGUCUUCUAGAUGUAAGAUAAUUGCGCGGCACGUUAAUAUCUCUAUGUAAUCCCGACGUGUGGGCCUUUCUUCCGUAUUUCCUGAUAACCCCCUGCAGAAAUAGACAAACACCAAAACUUGUGGAAUUCUGUCAGAUAAAACCCAUAGUCUAGAUGUUGAUUUCAUUUGGAUCCUUUUCUUUGUUUAUUUGAUAAUUAAAUUUGAUACUUAAGGACCGUCAACAAACUCCCUCAAGCUUACCUCUUGCUCGUCCCAGAGCAAGGAUAGAUUAGAAGUUGCUGGAAUACUUUUAAAAAUUGACGGUACACAUGCUUUUAAAUGAAGAUCUCAUCUCUGAGUUAGAGUAAACUGUCAAGACUUAAAACUUACUUACUUUACCUUUCACCAUGGGACUUGUAACCGUCACUUCUGUCUUGAGUGGUUAAAAGAUAGAACAGUCUAGUCAAGUGCCAUGUCUCUUAUUCUUGAUCAGCUAUAGCUCUGGAGUUUUUGCAGAUUUUCAAAUAAAACUCAGAGAUUCCUUUGUAUGACUCUCUCAUAUCUCUCUUUUGUGGUAUUUCUGGAUCCUUACCAAGGCAGUGAUGGUAUAUGCCUUCUCUCAAAAAGUAUAUUGUAUUGUUAGUUUCGGUGCAAGAUAGGUGCACAGUUUGCACCUAAUGCACCAUAGUCUAAGAAACCAUUUUGGACGCACUUGUUGGUACUCCUAGGUGAAGGGGCUCAAGUGGAUGCUCGGUUCGAUCUGUUUGGAGAUAGUGCUAAUCUUGAUGCAAGAUAGGUGCACGAUUUGCAUGGAACAUACCAAAUGCAUGGAAAUCAAUCUGGACGCACAUGAUGGAACUCCUAGAUGACGUGUGUCAUAUGAAAUCUUGCUUCGGUCUAUUUGGAGACAAUGUUAGUUUCGGUGCAAGAUAGGUGCAAGGUUUGCACAUAAUGCAGCAUAGGCUAAGAAACCAUUUUGGACCCACCCGAUGGUACUCCUAGGUAAAAGGCUCAAGUGAAAGCUCAGUUUGGUCUAUUUGGAGUUAGUGCUAAUCUUGAUGCAAGAAUGAUGCACGGUUCGGUCUGUUUAGAGAUAUGGUGUAUUAGGCACAAACCGCGCACCUAUCUUGCACCAAAAUUAACACUAUCUCCAAACAGACCAAAGCAAGAUAUCAGAUGACACACAUCAUCUAGGAGUUCUAUUGGGUGCGUCUAUAUUGACUUGUAAGUAUAUGGUAUGUUCCAUGCAAACUGUGCGCCUAUCUUACAUGAAGAUUAGCACUAUAUCCAAACAUAUCGUACCGAGCUUUCACUCGAGUCUCUUCACCUAGAAGUACCAUUAGGUGCUUCCACAACUGUUUCUAAGCCUAUGGUGCAUUAGGCGCACACCGUGCACCUAUCUUGCAUCAAUAUUAGUAGUAUCUCCAAACAGACCGAACCAAGCUUCCACUUGAGCCUCUUUAUCUAGGAGUACCAACAGGUGAGCCCAAAAUGGUUUCUUAGGCUAUGGUGCAUUAGGCAUAAACUCUGCACCUAUCUUGCACCGAAACUAAUACUGUCUCCAAACAGACAAAGCAAGAUUCCAUACGACACACGUCAUCUAGGAGUUCCAUUAGGUGCAUCCAAAUUGAUUUUCAAGCAUAUGGUAUGUCCCAUGCAAACUGUGCACCUAUCUUGCAUCAAGAUUAGGACUAUCUCCAAACAGACCGAACCAAGCUUCCACUUGAGCCUCUUCAGCUAGGAGUUCUAUCGGGUGCAUCCAAAUUGAAUUCUGAGCAUAUGGUACGUUUAAUGCGAACUGUGUAAUCUUGCAUCAAGAUUAGAACUAUCUCCAAACAGACCAACCAACCUUCCACUUGAGCCUCUUCGGCUAGGAGUACCAUUGGCUGCAUCCAAAAUGGUUUCUUAGAGUAUGGUGCAUUAGGCACAAACCGUGCACCUAUCUUACACCGAAACUAACACUAUCUCCAAACAAACCAAAGCGAUAUUAGAUGACACACACCAUCUAGGAGUUCUAUCGGGUGCAUGCAAAUUGAUUUUCAAGCAUAUGGUAUGUUCCAUACAAACCUUGCACCUAUCUUACAUGAAGAUUAGCACUAUCUCCAAACAGAUCUUACCGAGCUUUCACUUGAGCCUCUUCACCUAGGAGUACCAUCGGGUGCUUCCAGAACUGUUUCAAAGCCUAUGGUGCCUUAGGCGCACACCGUGCACCUAUCUUACACCGAAAGUAACACUAUCUCCAAACGGAUCAAAGUGAGAUUCCAUAUGACACACGUCAUCUAGGAGUUCUAUCGGGUGCAUCCAAAUUGAUUUCCGAGUAUAUGGUACAUCCAUGCAAACUGUGCACCUAUCUUGCGUCAAGAUUAACACUAUCUCCAAACAGACCAAACCGAGCUUUCACUUGAGCCUCUUCAGCUAGGAGUACAAUCGGGUGCGUCCAAAUUGGUUUCUUAGGCAAUGGUGCAUUAGACAUAAACUGUGCACCUAUCUUGCACUAAAACUAACACUGUCUCCAAACGAACGAAGAGAGAUUCCAUAUUAAACACGUCACUAGGAGUGCCAAUAGGUGCAUCCAAAUCGAUUUUCAAGAAUAUGGUAUGUCCCAUGCAAACCGUGCACCUAUCUUGCAUCAAGAUUAGCACUAUCUCCAAAUAGACCGAACCAAGCUUCCGCUUGAGCCUCUUCAGCUAAGAGUUCCAUGAGGUAUGUCCAAAUUGAUUUCCAAGCAUAUAGUACGUUCCAUGCAAACCGUGCAACUAUCUUGCAUCAAGAUUAGCACUAUCUCCAAAUAGACCGAACCAAGCUUCCUCUUGAGCCUCUUUAGCUAGGAGUUCCAUCGGGUGCGUCUAAAAUGGUUUCUUAGUUUAUGGUGCAUUAGGCACAAACCGUGCAGUAUCUUGCACUGAAAUUAACACUAUCUCCAAACAGACCAAAGUGAGAUAUUAGAUGUCAUACACCAUCUAGGAGUUCUACCGGGUGUGUCCAAAUUGAUUUUCAAGCAUAUGGUAUGUUCCGUACAAACCGUGCACCUAUCUUACAUGAAGAUUAGAACUAUCUCCAAACAGAUCGUACCGAGCUUUCACUUUAGCCUCUUCACCUAGGAGUACCAUCGGGUGCUUCCACAACUGUUUCUAAGCCUAUGGUGCAUUAGGCGCACAUCGUGCAGCUAUCUUACACCGAAACUAACACUAUCUCCAAACGGGAUCAAAGUGAGGUUCCAUAUGACACACGUCAUCUAGAAGUUCUAUCAGGUGCGUCCAAAUUGAUUUCCGAGCAUAUGGUACGUUCCAUGCAUACUGUGCACCUAUCUUGCGUCAAGAUUAGUAGUAUCUCCAAACAGACCGAACCAAGCUUCCACUUGAGCCUCUUCACCUAGGAGUACCAACAGGUGCAUCUAAAAUGGUUUCUUAGGCUAUGGUGCAUUAGGCAUAAACUGUGCACCUAUCUUCCACUAAAACUAACACUGUCUCCAAAUAGAUGAAGCGAUAUUCCAUAUGACACACGUCAUCCAGGAGUUCCAUCACGUGCAUCCAAAUGAUUUUCAAGCAUAUGGUAUGUCCCAUGCAAACCGUGCACCUAUCUUGCAUCAAGAUUAUCACUAUCUCCAAAGAAACCAAACCAAGCUUUCACUUGUUCCCCUUUACCUAGGAAUACCAUUGGUUGCGUCCAAAAUUGUUUCUUAGCCUAUCGUGCAUUAGGCGCAAACCGUGCACCUUUCUUGCACCGAAACUAACACUGUCUCCAAAAGAGUACCAUCAGGUGCUUCCACAACUGUUUCAAAGCCUAUGGUGCAUUAGGUGCAUACCGUGCACCUAUCUUACACCAAAACUAACACUAUCUCCAAAUAGACCGAAGUGAGAUUUCAUAUGACACACGUCAUCUAGGAGUUCUAUCGGGUGCGUCCAAAUUGAUUUCCUAGCAUAUGCUACGUCCAUGCAAACCGUGCACCUAUCUUGCGUCAAGAUUAUAACUAUCUCCAAAGAGACCAAACCGAGCUUCCACUUGAGCCUCUUCAUUUAGGAGUACAAUCAGGUGCGUCCAAAAGGGUUUGUUAGAGUAUGGUGCAUUAGGCACAAACCAUGCACCUAUCUUGCACCGAAACUAACACUAUCUCCAAACGGACCAAACGAGGUUACAUAUGACACACAACAUCUAGGAGUUCCAUCGGGCGUGUCCAAAUUGAUUUCGGGCAUAUAGUACGUUCCAGGCAAACCGUGCACCUAUCUUGCAUCAAGAUUAGCAGUAUCUCCAAACAGACCAAACCAAGCUUCCAGUUGAGUCUCUUCACCUAGGAGUAGCAACAGGUGCGUCCAAAAUGGUUUCUUAUGCUAUUGUGCAUUAGGUGCAAACUGUGCACAUAUCUUCCACAGAAUCUAACACUACCUCCAAACAGACCAAAGCGAGAUUUCAUAUGACACACGUCAUCUAGGAGUUCCAUCGGGUGUGUCCAAAUUGAUUUCCGAGCAUAUAGUACGUUUCAUGCAAACCGUGCACCUAUCUUGCAUCAAGAUUAGCACUAUAUCCAAACAAACCGAACCCAGCAUCCACUUGAGACUCUUCAGCUAGGAGCACAAUCGGGUGCAUCAAAAAUGGUUUGUUAGAGUAUGGUGCAUUAGGCACAAACCAUGCACCUAUCUUGUACUGAAACUAACACUAUCUCCAAACAAAAAAAAAGUGAGAUAUCAGAUGACACACAUCACCUAGGAGUUCUAUAGGGUGUGUCCAAAUUGAUUUUCAAGCAUAUGGUAUGUUCCAUGCAAAUCGUGCACCUAUCUUACAUGAAGAUUAGCACUAUCUCCAAACAAAUCAUACCGAGCUUUCACUUGAGCCUCUUCACCUAGGAGUACCAUCGGGUGCUUCCACAAUGGUUUUUGAGCCUAUGGUACAUUAGGCGCAAACCGUACACUUAUCUUGCACCGAAACUAACACUAUCUCCAAAUGGACCGAAGCGAGAUUCUAUAUGACACACGUCAUCUAGGAGUUCUAUCAGGUGCGUCCAAAUUGAUUUUCGAGCAUAUGGUAUGUCCAUGCAAACCGUGCACCUAUCUUGCGUCAAGAUUAGCACUAUCUCCAAACAGACCAAACCGAGCUUCCACUUGUGCCUCUUCAGCUAGGAGUACAAUCAGGUGUGUCCAAAAUGGUUUGUUAGAGUAUGGUGCAUUAGGUACAAACCGUGCACCUAUCUUGCACCGAAACUAACACUAUCUCCAAACAGACCAAGACGAGAUUACAUAUGACACAUGACAUCUAGGAGUUCCAUCGGAUGCGUCCAAAUUGAUUUCCAAGCAUAUGGUACAUUCCAUGCAAACCAUGCACCUAUCUUGCAUCAAGAUUAGCAGUAUCUCCAAACAGACCGAACCCAAGCUUCCACUUGAGCCUCUUCAGCUAGGAGUUCUAUCGGGUGCAUCCAAAUUGAAUUCUGAGCAUAUGAUACGUUCCAUGCAAACCGUGCAAUCUUGCAUCAAGAUUAGCACUAUCUCCAAACAGACCGAACCAACCUUCCACUUGAGCCUCUUCGGCUAGGAGUACCAUUGGCUGCAUCCAAAAUGGUUUCUUAGAGUAUGGUGCAUUAGGCACAAACCGUGCACCUAUCUUGCACCAAAACUAACACUAUCUCCAUACAGACCAAAGCGAUAUUAGAUGACACACACCAUCAAGGAGUUCUAUCGGGUGCGUGCAAAUUGAUUUUCAAGCAUAUGGUAUGUUCCAUACAAACCUUGCACCUAUCUUACAUGAAGAUUAGCACUAUCUCCAAACAGAUCUUACCGAGCUUUCACUUGAGCCUCUUUACCUAGGAGUACCAUCGGGUGCUUCCACAACUGUUUCUAAGCCUAUGGUGCAUUAGGCGCACACCGUGCACCUAUCUUACACCAAAACUAACACUAUCUCCAAACGGACCAAAGUGAGAUUCCAUAUGACACAUAUCAUCUAGGAGUUCUAUCGGUUGAGUCCAAAUUGAUUUUCGAGUAUAUGGUACGUCCAUGCAAACGGUGCACCUAUCUUGUGUCAAGAUUAGCACUAUCUCCAAACAGACCAAACCGAGUUUCCACUUGAGCCUCUUCAGCUAGGAGUACAAUCGGGUGCGUCCAAAUUGGUUUCUUAGGCUAUGGUGCAUUAGGCAUAAACUGUGCACCUAUCUUGAACUGAAGCUAACACUGUCUCCAAAUAGAUGAAGCGAGAUUCCAUAUGACACACGUCAUCUAGGAGUUCCAUCACGUGCAUCCAAAUUGAUUUUCAAGCAUAUGGUAUGUCCCAUGCAAACCGUGCACCUAUCUUGCAUCAAGAUUAGCACUAUCUCCAAAGAAACCAAACCAAGCUUUCACUUGUGCCCCUUUACCUAGGAAUACCAUUGGGUGCCUCCAAAAUUGUUUCUUAGCCUAUCGUGCAUUAAGCGCAAACCGUGCAUCUUUCUUGCACCAAAACUAACACUGUCUCCAAAGAGUACCAUCGGGUGCUUCCACAACUGUUUCUAAGCCUAUGGUGCAUUAGGUGCAUACCGUGCACCUAUCUUACACCGAAACUAACACUAUCUCCAAAUGGACUGAAGUGAGAUUUUAUAUGACACACGUCAUCUAGGAGUUCUAUCGGGUGCAUCCAAAUUGAUUUCCUAGCAUAUGGUAUGUCCAUGCAAACCGUGCACCUCUCUUGCGUCAAGAUUAGCACUAUCUCCAAACAGACCAAACCGAGCUUCCACUUGAGCCUCUUCAUUUAGGAGUACAAUCAGGUGCGUCCAAAAGGGUUUGUUAGAGUAUGGUGCAUUAGGCACAAACCAUGCACCUAUCUUGCACAGAAACUAACACUAUCUCCAAACGGACGAAAGCGAGGUUACAUAUGACACAACAUCUAGGAGUUCCAUCGGGCGUGUCCAAAUUGAUUUCGGGCACAUAGUACGUUCCAUGCAAACCGUGCACCUAUCUUGCAUCAAGAUUAGCAGUAUCUCCAAACAGACCAAACCAAGCUUCCACUUGAGUCUCUUCACCUAGGAGUAGCAACAUGUGCGUCCAAAAUGGUUUCUUAUGCUAUUGUGCAUUAGGCGCAAACUGUGCACAUAUCUUCCACCGAAACAACACUACCUCCAAACAGACCAAAGUGAGAUUUCAUAUGACACACGUCAUCUAGGAGUUCCAUCGGGUGAGUCCAAAUCGAUUUUCAAGCAUAUUGUAUGUUCCAUGCAAACUGUGCACCUAUCUUACAUGACGAUUAGCACUAUCUCCAAACAUAUCGUACCGAGCUUUCACUUGAGCCUCUUAUUUAGGAGUACCAUCGGGUGCUUCCACAAUUGUUUUUGAGCCUAUGGUACAUUAGGCGCAAACCGUACACUUAUCUUGCACCGAAACUAACACUAUCUCCAAAUGGACCGAAGUGAGAUUCCAUAUGACACACGUCAUCUAGGAGUUCUAUUGGGUGCGUCCAAAUUGAUUUUCGUGCAUAUGGUAUGUCCAUGCAAAUCGUGCAUCUAUCUUGCGUCAAGAUUAGCACUAUCUCCAAACAGACCAAACCGAGCUUCCACUUAUGCCUCUUCAGCUAGGAGUACAAUCAAGUGUGUCCAAAAUGGUUUGUUAGAGUAUGGUGCAUUAGGCACAAACUGUGCACCUAUCUUGCACCAAAACUAACACUAUCUCCAAAAAGACCAAGACGAGAUUACAUAUGACACAUGACAUCUAGGAGUUCCAUCGGAUGCGUCCAAAUUGAUUUCCAAGCAUAUGGUACAUUCCAUGCAAACCAUGCACCUAUCUUGCAUCAAUAUUAGCAGUAUCUCCAAAUAGACCGAACCCAAGCUUCCACUUGAGCCUCAUCACCUAGGAGUACCAACAGGUGCGUCCAAAAUGGUUUUCUUAGACUAUGGUGCAUUAGGCGCAAACUGUGCACCUAUCUUGCACUAGAACUAACACUAUGUCCAAACGGAUCAAAGCGAGAUUCCAUUUGACACACAUCAUCUAAGAGUUCCAUCGGGUGCCUCCAAAUGAAUUUCUGAGCAUAUGGUAUGUUCCAUGCAAACCGCGCAGCUAUCUUGCAUCAAGAUUAGUAGUAUCUCCAAAUAGACCAAACAAGGCUUCCACUUAAAGCCUCUUCACCUAGGAGUACAUAUAGGUGCGUCCAAAAUGGUUUCUUAUGCUAUGGUGCAGUAGGUGCAAACUGUGCACCUAUCUUGCACCAAAACUAACACUAACUCCAAACGGAUCAAAGCGAGAUUCCAUAUGACACACGUCAUCUAGGAGUUCCAUUGGGUGCGUCCAAAUUGAUUUCUGCGCAUAUGGCACAUUCCAUGCAAACUGUGCAACUAUCUUGCAUCAAGAUUAGCACUAUCUCCAAACAGACCAAUCCGAGCUUCCAUUUGAGUCUCUUCACCUAGGAGUACCAACAGGUGCGUCCAAAAUGGUUUCUUAGACUAUGGUGCAUUAGGCGCAAACUUUUUUUUGAGAGCCAUUAGGCGCAAACUGUGCAACUAUCUUGCACCAAAACUAACCGUCUCUAAAUAGACCAAAGCGAGAUUUCAUAUGACACACGUCAUCUAGGAGUUCCAUCGGGUGCGUCCAAAUUGAUUUCUGAGCAUAUGGUACGCUCUAUGCAAACCGUGCACCUAUCUUGCAUCAAGAUUAGCACCAUCACCAAAUAGACCGAACCAAGCUUCCACUUGAGCCUCUUCACCUCGGACCAAUAGGUGCGUCCAAAAUGGUUUCUUAGACUAUGGUGCAUUAGACGCAAACUAUCCACCUAUCUUGCACCAAAACUAACACUAUCUACUAACGGAUCAAACCAAGAUUCCAUAUGACCCACGUCAUCUAGGAGUUCCAUCGGGUGCCUCCAAAUUGAUUUCUGAGCAUAUGGUACGUUCCAUGCAAACCAUGCACCUAUCCUCCAUCAAGAUUAGCAGUAUCUCCAAGCAGACCGAACCCAGCUUGCACUUGAGCCUCUUCAUCUAGGAGUACCAACAUGUGCGCCCAAAAUGGUUUCGUAGGCUACGGUGCAUUAGGCACAAACUAUGCACCUAUCUUGCACCAAAACUAACACUGUCUCCAAACGGAACGAAACGAGAUUCUAUAUGAAACACGUCAUCUAGGACUUCCAUCAGGUGCGUCCAAAUUGAUUUUCAACCAUAUGGUACGUUCCAUGUAAACUGUGCACCUAUUUUGCAUCAAGAGUAGCACUAUCUCCAAUGCACUGAACCGAGCUUUCACUUGAGCCACUUCACCUAGGAGUACCAUCGAGUGCGUCCAAAAUGGUUUCUUAGCCUGUGGUGCAUUAGGCGCAAACCGUGCACCUAUCUUGCACAGAUACUAACACUUUCUCCAAAUGGACCAAAGCAAGAUUACAUAUGACACACGUCAUCUAGAAGUUCUAUCGGAUGCAUCUAAAUUGAUUUCUGAGCAUAAGGUACGUUCCAUGCAAACUAUGCAACUAUCUUGCAUCAAGAUUAGCACUAUCUCCAAAUAGACCGAACCGAGCUUCCACUUGAGCCUCUUCAGCGGAGAGUACCAUCGGUUGUGUCCAAAAUGGUUUCUUAGAGUAUGGUGUAUUAGGCACAAACCGUGCACCAAUCUUGCACCAAAACUAACACUUUCUCCAAAUAGACCAAAGUGAGAUAUCAGAUGACACACAUCAUCUAGGAGUUAUAUCGGGUGUGUCCAAAUUGAUUUUCAAGCAUAUGGUAUGUUUCAUGCACACCGAGCACCUAUCUUGCACCGAAACUAAAACUAUCUCCAUGUGGACCGCAGUGAGAUUCCAUAUGACACACGUCAUCUAAGAGUUCUAUCGGGUGCAUCCAAACUGAUUUCUAAGCAUAUGGUACAUUCCAUGCAAACCGUGCACCUAUCUUACAUCAAGAUUAGCACUAUCUCCAAACAGACCAAACCGAGCAUUCAGUUAAGCCCCUUUACCUAGGAAUACAAUCGGGUGUGUCCAAAAUCGUUUCUUAGCCUAUGGUUCAUUACGCACAAACUGUGCACCUAUCUUGCACCGAAACUAACACUGUCUCCAAACAGACCGAAGCGAGACUCCAUAUGACACACAUCACAUUAGGCGCAAACAGACCGAAGCAAGAUUCCAUAUGACACACGUCAUCUUGGAGUUUCAUUGGGUGUGUCCAAAUUGAUUUCCGAGCAUAUGAUAUGUUCCACACAAAUAGUGCACCUAUCUUGCAUCAAGAUUAGCAAUAUCUCUGAAUAGAGCAAACCGAGCUUCCACUUGAGCCUCUUCACCUAGGAGUUCCAUCGGGUGCUUCUAAAAUGGUUUCUUAGCCUAUGGUGCAUUUGGCACAAACCGUGCAUAUAUCUUGCACCAAAACUAACACAAUCUCCAAAUAGACCAAAGCAAGAUUUCAUAUGACACACGUCAUCUAGGAGUUCCAUCGGGUGUGUCCAAAUUGAUUUUCAAGCAUAUGGUACGUUCUAAGCAAACCAUGCACCGAUCUUACAUGAAAAUUAGCACUAUCUCCAAAAAGAUCAUACCAAGCUUUCACUUGAGCCUCUUCACCUAGGUGUACCAUCAAGUGCAUCCAAAAUGGUGUCUUAGCCUAUGGUGCAUUAGGUGCAAACCGUGCACCUAUCUUGCACCGACACUAACACUGUCUCUACACAAACCGAAGCAAGAUUCCAUAUGACACACGUCAUCUAGGAGUUUCAUUGGGUGCGUCCAAAUUGAUAUCCAAGCAUAUGGUAUGUUCCAUGCAAACUGUGCACCUAUCUAGCAUCAAGAUUAGCACUAUCUCCAAACAGACCAAACCAAGCUUCCACUUGAGCCUCUUCACCUAGGAGUAUAAUUGGGUGCAUCAAAAAUGGUUUCUUAGGCUAUGGUGCAUUAGGUGCAAACCGUGCAUCCACCGAAACUAACACUAUGUCCAAACAGAAUGAAGCAAGAUUCCAUAUGACACACGUCAUCUAGGAGUUCUAUCGGGUGCGUCCAAAUUGAUUUUUGAGCAUAUGGUAUGUCCCAUGCAAACCGUGCAACUAUCUUGCAUCAAGGUUAGCACUAUCUCCAAAUAGACCACAUCGAGCUUCCACUUGAGCCUCUUCACCAAGGAGUACCAUCAGGUGCGUCUAAAAUGGUUUUUCAGCCUACGGUGCAUUAGGUGCAAAUCGUGCACAUAUCUUGCACCGAAACCAAAACUGUCUCCAAACAGACCAAAGCGAGAUUCCAUAUGACACAUGUCAUCUAGGUCUUCCAUCUAGUGCGUCCAAAUUGAUUUUUGAGCAUAUGGUACGUUUCAUGCAAACCGUGCACCUAUCUUGCAUCAAGAUUAGCACUAUCUCCAAAAAUACCGAACUGAGCUUCCACUUGAGCCUCUUCACCGAGGAGUACCAACAGGUUCGUCGAGCAUGGUUUCUUAGACUAUGGUGCAUUAGGCGCAAAUUGUCAAAAGUGCUAGUUUGGUUUUGGAUAAUUGAUGAAACCCUUGUACUAACCUCUAUACUAAGUGUGUGUAGACUUAAUGAGGUUGGUACAUGCCAAGUGAUGGAGCAAGAGAUGAUCAUGGUGAUGAUGGUGAUGACCACAAGAUGAUCAAGUUCUCAACUUAGAAAAGAAGAAAGAGAAAAACAAAACCCUAUGGAGAUCAAGGCAAAGGUAUAAAGAGGGGAUCAAGACACCAUAGAGGGUGUGAUCACAUUUAGGAUAGAUAGCCAUACUAUAAAGAGGGGAAUUCUUUCGCUAAGCAGUUAUCAAGUGCCACUAGGUGUCAUUAUUCAUGUGCAUGCAUUUAGAACCUAGUGAGCUAACUUAACUCUGAAGAAAAUGUUUGUGAAAAUGCUAACACACGUGCACAUGUUGGUUUACACAUUGUGGUGUUGGCACACUUUGAAAAGGAGGUGGAGUUUGAAGGGUAGAGAGAGGAUGGGUUCCUCUCCCCCUCCCACAGAGCUUGCUCGGCAGGAUUCGGCGCUUUUUUGAGAAAAUGACGUGCAAUUUUUCUAUUGCACCGGUGGGAAAAUUGGAGAAGUCGUGGGUGUGUUUCUCGCUGAGAAACACUCACCGGACGCUGGCUCAGAGGCACCAGACGCUGUGUCUAUGCGUCCGGUGCACCGGACGCCCACACCGGACGCAGGUUAGAUCCUGUUUGAGCGUUCGAUGUUUUGAGUCCAGUGUUCUGCGCUUUUGCAAUGCUCUCUAGGUAUGAGACCAGUGAGCACCGGACGGUCCGUGCUCAGCGUCCGGUGACCCCGCGAGUUUGCAAACCUCCCUGAGUUUAAGUCCAGUGAGUACCAGACGCGUCUUGUGCCAACUUGAGCGCGUCCGGUGCUCUGCAGGUGACCGUUAGAGAUCAACAUGCAAGUGGAUAGGGCAAAACGUGGCUGUUUCUAGAGCACCAGACACAGGGGUUGAGCGUCCGGUGCCCCCUGUGGUUCAUAAGGUGACCCUGUUUUUAGCCCAGUGAAAGAGCCAAUGGCUCAUUUGUUUUUGAGGAGCUUAUAAAUAGUUGUUGGCCAACUUAGGACUCACUCUCUUGGCAUUCUAGCAUACUUGAAUCCUUGUGAGCCUAAGCAAACACCUCCCUCUCAUCUCCUUCAUAGAUUAUUCAUCUUUGUGAGAUUGGGAGUGAUUCCAAGUGCAUUUGCUUGAGUGAUUGCAUCUAGUGGCACUUGGGGAUCGAUUUGGCUGCGGUUUUCUUGUUACUCUUGGUGGUUGCCGCCACCUAGACGGCUUGGAGCAGCGGAGGAGCAUUGGCACGAGUUGGUGAUUGUUCGUGGCUAUCUCCUAGUGAUUGUGAGGGGUCUUGUACCUUCCCUGCGAAGAGUCGAAAGGUAACUUUAGUGGAUUGCUCGUGUCAUUGAGUUACCUCACUUGUGGGUCAGUUCUUGCGGUGUCCUAGUGAGGACGAGGUUCGUGCUACACCGCUUAGCCACCGAACCACCAAGUGUUGGUCGACACAAUAGGGACGUAGCGUGCCAGCAAGCACGUGAACCUCAGGAGAAAAUUGUGUGUCUCCAUUGUGAUUGUUCAUUGGAUUUCUCCUAGUGAUUGGACUACAUAUUAUUGAUUGGUUCAUCCCCUCUAUGCGGCGGUAUAAAGAUCAAACCAUCUCUCUCUUACAUUCCCGCAAACUAGAGUAGCUUACUUACUUGUAUAGAAACUUUAGAUAGCUCUCUAGUGUAAGUAGUGACAUAGCUCUUGUGUGCAUAGUGAUCAUAGCAACUAGAAUUAUUGGAUAGGUGGCUGGCAAACACCCCUUUAGAGCUAGAGCAAAAAGCUAUGCUUGUUAUCUACUGACCUCUUGCUCUAGUGAGUUUGUAGAUUUUUAAAUAGGCUAUUCACCUCCCCUCUAGCCAUAUUAGGACCUUUCAAGUGGUAUCAGAGCCGUGGUCACCGUUUUGUGAAGGCUUAACAACCUCAGUGCUCAAAUUAUGGCUCAAAUAGUGUUCAACCAUGUUGGGGGCAAACCACCGUUCUUUGAUGGAACAAGUUCUUUUGACUAUUGGAAGAGAAAAAUGAAAAUGUAUCUUGGAUCAAUCAAUGAUAGAGUGUGGGAAGUCACGGAGAAUGAUUUUGUGAUCCUUGACACCGCUAACCCCACCGACAAUGAGAGAGCAAACAAGCAAUGCAAUACAAUAGCUCUCAACACAACUAUAAUGACAUUGAUUCAAAGGUAUUUGAACAAGUCAAAGAUCUUGAGAAGGCAAGUGAAGUGUGGACAAUGCUAGAAGAAACAUAUGAGGGCACUACAACAGUAAAAAGUGCCAAGUUGUACAUGCUCAAGGACAAGCUAUCAAACUUCAAUAUGAAGGAUGAUGAGUCAAUUCCAGAAAUGUUCUAUAGGCUCCAAGUCAUCAUCAAUGACCUCAAGGGCCUUGGUGAGAAAGCAAAGGAUGAGGACUUUAUUCACAAGUUCUUGAUGUGCUUGCCCAAGAGGUUCAAGACAUUGAGAACAAUCAUCUUUAGAGGUGGAUUGACAGGUGUAUCUCCCAAUGAGGUACUUGGAGAUGUCAUGACCGAAGAUCAAUAUAAUGACAAUGAUGAUGAUGAGGUCAUGAAGGAUGAUGAUGAUAAGAAGAAGAAGAGUGAAGCAUUCAAAGCUAGCUCUUCAUCCAAGAGCAAGAACAAGGAAGAAUCAAGUGAUGAGGAGUGUUCCAAUGAUGAUAGUGAUGAUGAAGCACUAGCACUCUUUGUCCACAAGUUUGGCAAGAUGAUGAAGAAAAAGGGCUACCAUACAAGGAAGAGAAGGGACAACUCCAAGAACAAGGAAUAUGUGAGGCUAUGCUACAAGUGCAAGAGCCCCGAUCAUUUUGUGGCGGAUUGUCCUUACAAUAGUGACAAUGAUGAGCAUAACAAGAAGAACAAGAAGGAGAAGAAAGAAAAGAAAGAGAAGAAGAUGGUCUUCAAGAAGAAGAAGAAGGGUGGAUCCUAUGUUGUGACAUGGGAUAGUGAUGCCUCUUCAGAUGAUGACUCAAGCGAUGAUGACAAAUCAUCCCAAAAGAAGGCACUUGCAAGCAUUGCUAUCAACAAGCCAUCACUCUUCGACACUCCUUCAUGCUUCAUGGCCAAGUGCCACAAGGUACAAUAUGAUGAAAGUGAAAGUGAACAUGAACAUGAUAGUGAUAGUGAUGAUGAAAAUAAAUUCACUAAUGAACAACUCAUGGACAUGUUAGAACAAGCCAAAUCUCUCAUUCAAUCUAAAAACAAGAAGUGCAAAGAAUUGGCCAAGAAGUUAAAAGCUCUUGAGCAAUCCUUUGAUGAGCUCAAUGCUAAUCAUGAGAGGCUAGUGGAAGCCCAUGAGAAGCUUGGCAAGGCUCACACCAAGCUUGAGGAAGCUCACUCCUUGUUGUUAGAGGAGAACAGGGAAAAGGUUGUUGUAUCAUGUGAUGUGGGCACAACAUGUUACUUAAUUAAAGAAUCUUCCAACCCACCUAUUGUUGUUGCCACUAACUCUUCUUGUAGGUCUUCAUCCACCACCACCAACUCUACCUCUACUUCUAGUGUUAUUGUCACUUGUGAUACCUCACUAAAGGUUGAGAAUGAGACUCUUAAGAGAGAGGUGGAUGAGCUCACUCAUGCCCUAAGCAAGGCCUAUGGUGGUGAGGCCUGCUUGCUAAAGUGUUUGGGUAGUCAAAGGUUUUCUCUCAACAAAGAGGGAUUAGACUAUACCCCCAAGAAAGGCAAGGCGACCUUUGCAACUCACAAGCAUAGCUUUGUGAAGAGCAACGGUUGGUAUUGCAACAAAUGCAAGCAAGUUGGGCACCUAGAGCUUAAUUGCAAUAAAGUGAACAAGAACAAGAAAAAUGCUAAUGUAUCUUACCAAGGGUGAGAAGAGUGUGCAUGCUAAGUUUGUUGGUACACCAAUUGUGAGUCCAAAGAAGAAGGCCAUUUGGGUACCAAAAAGCUUAGUCACUAACCUCCAAGGACCCAAACAAGUAUGGGUACCUAAGAAACAUUGAUUUGUUUUGUAGGUAAAUUAUAAAGCCGGAGGAAGGCAUUGGGUACUUGAUAGUGGGUGCACACAACACAUGACAUUGUUAGUUUUGGUGCAAGAUAGGUGCACAGUUUGCACCUAAUGCACCAUAGUCUAAGAAACCAUUUUGGACGCACUUGUUGGUACUCCAAGGUGAUUGGCUCAAGCGGAUGCUUGGUUCGGUCUGUUUGGAGAUAGUGCUAAUCUUGAUGCAAGAUAGAUGCACGGUUUGCAUGGAACAUAUGAUAUGCUUAGAAAUCAAUUAGGACGCACCUGAUAUAACUCCUUGAUGAUUUGUGUCUUAUGGAAUCUUGCUUCGGUUCGUUUAGAGAUAGUGUUAGUUUUGGUAGAAGAUAUGUGCACGGUUUACGCCUAAUGCACCAUAGGCUAAGAAACCAUUUUAGACGCACCCGAUGGUACUCGUAGUUGAAGAGGCUCAAGUGGAGACUUGAUUUGGUUUGUUCGGAUAUAGUGCUAAUCUUGAUGCAAGAUAGUUGCACAGUUUGCAUGCAACGUACCAUAUGUUAAGAAAUCAAUUUGGACGCACCCAAUGGAACUCCUAGAUGAUGUGUGUCAUAUGGAAUCUCGCUUCGGUCUGUUUGGAGACAAUGUUAGUUUCGGUGCAAGAUAGGUGCAUAGUUUGUGCCAAAUGCACCAUAGUCUAAGAAUCCAUUUUUGACACACAUGUUUGUACUCCUAGAUGAAGAGGCUCAACUGGAAGCUCGGUUCGGUCUGUUUGGAGAUAGUGCUAAUCUUGAUGCAAGAUUGGUGCACGGUUUGCAUGGAACAUACUGCACCCGAUGGAACUCCUUGAUGACAUGUGUCAUUUGGAAUCUCACUUUGUAUUGUUUAGAAUUAGUGUUAGUUUUGGUGCAAGAUAUGUGCAGGGUUUGCGCCUAGUGCACCAUAGUCUAAGAAACCAGUUUGGAAGCACCUGUUGGUACUUCGGUGAAGAGGAUCAAGUGAAUGCUCGGUUUGAUCUAUUUGGAGAUAGUGCUAAUCUUGAUGCAAGAUAGGUGCAUGAUUUGCAAGGAACAUACCAUAUGCUUAGAAAUGAAUUUGGAUGCACCCAAUGGAACUCCUAGAUGAUGACGUGUGUCAUAUGGAAUCUUAUUUCGGUCCGUUUGGAGACAUUGUAAGUUUUAGUGCAAGAUAGGUGCACAGUUUGCGGCUAAUGCACCAUAGUCUAAAAAACCAUUUUUGACGCACCUGUUUGUACUCCUAGAUGAAGAGGCUCAAGUGGAAGCUUGGUUCGGUCUGUUUGGAGAUAGUGCUAAUCUUGAUGCAAGGUAGGUGCAUGGUUUGCAUGGAACAUACCAUAUGCUUGGAAAUCAAUCUGGACGCACAUGAUGGAACUCCUAGAUGACGUGUGUCAUACAAAAUCUUGCUUUGGUCUGUUUGGAGGCAGUGUUAGUUUCGGUGCAAGAUAUGUGCAAGGUUUGCACAUAAUGCAGCAUAGGCUAAGAAACCAUUUUGGACGCAGCCGAUGGUACUCCUAGGUAAAAGGCUCAAGUGAAAGCUCAAUUUGGUCUAUUUGGAGAUAGUGCUAAUCUUGAUGCAAGAUAGAUGCACGGUCUGGAUGGAACGUACCAUAUGCUUAGAAAUUAAUUUGGAUGCACCCGAUGGAACUCCUUGAUGACGUGUGUCAUAUGGAAUCUCACUUUGGUCUGUUUAGAAAUAAUGUUAGUUUCGGUGCAAGAUAUGUUCAUGGUUUGCACCUAAUGCACCAUAGUCUAAGAAACCAUUUUGGAAGCACCUGUUGGUACUUCGGUGAAGAGGCUCAAGUGGAAGCUCGGUUUGAUCUGUUUGGAGAUAGUGCUAAUCUUGAAGCAAGAUAGGUUCAUGAUUUGCAAGGAACAUACCAUAUGCUUAGAAAUCAAUUUGGACGCACCCAAUGGAACUUCUAGAUGACGUGUGUCAUAUGGAAUCUUGCUUCGGUCCGUUUGUAGACAUUGUAAGUUUUAGUGCAAGAUAGGUGCACAGUUUGCGCCUAAUGCACCAUAGUCUAAGAAACCAUUUUGGAUGCACUAUUUGGUACUCUUGGGUGAAGAGACUCAAGUGGAAGCUUGGUUCGGUCAGUUUGGAGAUAGUGCUAAUCCUUAUGCAAGGUACGUGCAUGGUUUGCAUGGAACAUACCAUAUGCUUGGAAAUCAAUUUGGAUGCACCCGAUGGAACUCCUUAACGACGUGUCAUAUGGAAUCUCGCUUGGGUCCAUUUGGAGACAUUGUUAGUUUUGGUGCAAGAUAGGUGCACAGUUUGCACCUAAUGCACCAUAGUCUAAGAAACCAUUUUGGACACACUUGUUGGUACUCCUAGGUGAAGGGUUUCAAGUGGAUGCUUGGUUCGGUCUGUUUGGAGAUAGUGCUAAUCUUGAUGCAAGAUAGGUGCACGGUUUGCAUGGAACAUACCAUAUGCUUGGAAAUCAAAUUGGAUGCACCCGAUGGAACUCCUUGAUGAUGUGUCAUAUGGAAUCUCACUUUGGUCUGUUUAGAAAUAGUGUUAGUUUCGAUAUAAGAUAUGUGCAUGGUUUGCGCCUAAUGCACCAUAGUCUAAGAAACCAUUUUGGAAGCACCUGUUGGUACUUCGGUGAAGAGGCUCAAGUGGAAGCUUGGUUUGAUAUGUUUGGAGAUAGUGCUAAUCUUGAUGCAAGAUAGGUGCAUGAUUUGCGAGGAACAUACCAUAUGCUUAGAAAUCAAUUUGGACGCACCCAAUGGAACUCCUAGAUGACGUGUGUCAUAUGGAAUCUUGCUUCGGUCCAUUUGUAGACAUUGUAAGUUUUAGUGCAAGAUAGGUGCACAGUUUGCGCCUAAUGCACUAUAGUCUAAGAAACAUUUUGGAUGCACUAUUUGGUACUCUUGGGUGAAGAGCCUCAAGUGGAAGCUUAGUUCGGUCAGUUUGGAGAUAGUGCUAAUCCUUAUGCAAGGUAGGUGCAUGGUUUGCAUGGAACAUACCAUAUGCUUGAAAUCCAUUUGGAUGCACUCAAUGGAACUCCUUGACGACGUGUGUCAUAUGGAAUCUCGCUUCGGUCCAUUUGGAGACAUUGUUAGUUUCGGUGCAAGAUAGGUGCACAGUUUGCGCCAAAUGCACUAUAGUCUAAGAAACCAUUUUGGACGCACUAUUUGGUACUCUUGGGUGAAGAGGCUCAAGUGGAAGCUUGGUUCGGUCAGUUUGGAGAUAGUGCUAAUCCUUAUGCAAGGUAGGUGCAUGGUUUGCAUGGAACAUACCAUAUGCUUGGAAAUCAAUUUGGAUGCACCCGAUGGAACUCCUUGACGACGUGUGUCAUAUGGAAUCUCGCUUUGGUCCAUUUGGAGACAUUGUUAGUUUUGGUGCAAGAUAGGUGCACAGUUUGCACCUAAUGCACCAUAGUCUAAGAAACCAUUUUGGACACACUUGUUGGUACUCCUAGGUGAAGGGUUUCAAGUGGAUGCUUGGUUCGGUCUGUUUGGAGAUAGUGCUAAUCUUGAUGCAAGAUAGGUGCACGGUUUGCAUGGAACAUACCAUAUGCUUGGAAAUCAAAUUGGAUGCACCCGAUGGAACUCCUUGAUGAUGUGUCAUAUGGAAUCUCACUUUGGUCUGUUUAGAAAUAGUGUUAGUUUCGAUAUAAGAUAUGUGCAUGGUUUGCGCCUAAUGCACCAUAGUCUAAGAAACCAUUUUGGAAGCACCUGUUGGUACUUCGGUGAAGAGGCUCAAGUGGAAGCUUGGUUUGAUAUGUUUGGAGAUAGUGCUAAUCUUGAUGCAAGAUAGGUGCAUGAUUUGCGAGGAACAUACCAUAUGCUUAGAAAUCAAUUUGGACGCACCCAAUGGAACUCCUAGAUGACGUGUGUCAUAUGGAAUCUGCUNNNNNNNNNNNNNNNNNNNNNNNNNNNNNNNNNNNNNNNNNNNNNNNNNNNNNNNNNNNNNNNNNNNNNNNNNNNNNNNNNNNNNNNNNNNNNNNNNNNNAGUCAACUUUCAUUUCUGCGACGAUGGAAUCUUGCUUCGGUUCGUUUAGAGACAGUGUUAGUUUUGGUAGAAGAUAUGUGAUGCGAACCCGCUAGGGUUUUUGCCUGAUCUUUUGAUGAGAGACGGGGAUAACUCGAUUGGUGGAUGGAGAUGAUGUUCACGGCCCGACUACAGCCCUCAAGACCGCGCCUUAGCAACCGAUACACCACGUUCAAUAGCCGUCACGAUCUUGUGGAGCGCGACAACCAGCCCCUAGGGCUCCCGUCCUGCAAGCAAUCGAAGAACUGCAAGAACGAGGAAACAAGCACUGAAUUUGCAAGAUGAAUUGAAGGUUUCAAACUGAAUCUGAAUCAACAAUGGGGUUCCGAAGACAAGGAGACGGGCGG
rnacentral:lncRNA from 1 species